AAAGGUGUUGUUGGCGGGGUUGAGAGGCACAUCUUUGGAAAAAGCCACGGCGGAGUCGGUGGCGGCGGUUUCAUCAGUAGCGGCUACUGAGGGAAAUGCGAUACUGCGAGUGACAGAGCCAUCUGGGUUAGGGACGAGGCCGACGGACUCAUAAGAGUCCAGGGAGGAUGGUGGUGGCGCAGAGUCUGCCAUGGCUGUUUAAGUGGUAAGAGUUUGUUUUGAAGAAGAUAUACAAAGGAGUCUGGUUGCGUAAUAUUAAUGGAGCUAUACGGAGAGGAGUGAGCAACUUCUUGUUCUGGGAUCGAUGGAUCGACCGAGAGUUGAGUUUCUAUCACAAUUCUUUAGGUUGAAUACUUGACCAGUUUUGGCGGCUAUUCGAUUAAAAUCAAUAAUCUUCCUGUGCAAGUAAUGACUUUGUUGCAUGUGAUCAAAUCUUAACUACACUUUUUUGAGCUUUGACCCAAAAUAGUGAGUUUUAAAAAAGAAUUCCAAAAAAUAAAGUUGUUUUGAAAAUAAUGCCCGAUCUAAUGCGUCUGUGUCAUAUAAGCUGCCACGUCAUAAAACCGUAGUUGAUGACUACAGUUUUAUUUUUCUAAAGUGGUUAGAAAUCGUAGUUACCAACUAUGGUUUUAACUUUAAGUUUAAAGCCGUAGUUGGUGACUACGACUUUGACUUUUUUUUUAAAUGGUCAAAGCCGUAGUCACCAAUUGCGGUUUUAACUUUAUAUAUAUUUAUAUAUAACUUUAAUUUUUUUAAUAAAAAUAUUAUAUUAUUUUGAUUUUAAAUAUACUUAUUUCAUUAUUUUAAAAAUAAUAAUAUACGAAAUUAAAUAAUUGAUAUUUUUAAUUUGAUAUAAAAAUAUAUUUUUAAAUUUUAUUAAAACAAUAGGCACUAUAUUUAAUAUAAAUAUAAUUAAUUAAUUAAAAUAAAAUAUAAUAAAUUAUAUUUAUUUAAAAUAAAUAAAUUAUAAAUGUCUAUUUAGAAAAAUAAAAAAGUAAUAUAAAUUAUUAUAUUAAUUAAUAAUUUUUUAUAUAUUAUAUAUAAGUGGUAUAUAAUACCUCACACACACACACAUAUAUAUAUAAAAGUUUAAUUUAAGUUUAAAAUUUAUCACAUUUUUAUUUAAAUAUAUAAAUAAAUUUUAUUAAAACAAUUGACAUUAUAUUUAAUAUAAAUAUAAUUAUUUAAUUAAAAUUAAAUAUAAAUAAAAUAUAAUAAAUUAUGUUUAUUUAAAAUAAAUAAAUUAUAAAUGCCUUAUUUGGAGAAAAAAAUAAUAUAAAUUAUUAUAUUAAUUAAUAAUUUUUUUAUAUAUUAUAUGUAAAUAGUAUAUAAUAUCACACACACACACACACAUAUAUAUAUAUAUAUAAAAGUUUAAUUUAAGUUUAAAAUUUAACAUAUUUAUUUAAAUAUAUAAAUAAAUUAUUAUCAUAUCAAUAUAAUAUUAUGAACUUAAAUUAAAAUAUGAUAAAUUUUAAACUUAAUUGAACUUAUAUACAUGUGACAUUAUAUACCACUUACAUAUAGUAUAUAAAAAAUUAUUAAUUAAUAUAAUAAUUUAUAUUAUUUGUUUUUUAAUAGGCUUUCAUAAUUUAUUAUAUUUUAUUUAUAUUUAAAUAUAAUUAACUAAAUAUAUUUAUAUUAAAUAUAGAGUAGAUUAUUUUAAUAAAAUUUAAAAAUAUAUUUAUAUCAAAUUAAAAAUAUCAAUUAUUUAAUUUCAUAUAUUAUUAUUUUUAAAAUAAUGAAAUAAGUAUAUUUAAAAUCAAAAUAAUAUAAUAUUUUUAUUAAAAAAAUUAAAGUUAUAUAUAAAUAUAUAUAAAGUUAAAACCGCAGUUGGUGACUACGGCUUUGACCAUUUUAAAAAAAAGUCAAAGCCGUAGUCACCAACUACGACUUUAAAAUUAAAGUUAAAACUGUAAUUGGUAACUACGGUUUCUAACCACUUUAGAAAAAUAAAACCGUAGUCACCAACUACGGUUUUAUGACGUGGCAGCUUAUGUGGCACAGACGCAUUAGAUCGGGCAUUAUUUUCAAAACAACUUUAUUUUUUGGAAUUUUUUUUUAAAACACACUAUUUUGGGUCAAAGCUCAAGAAUAAGUACAAAAGAAUCUUCAAGAUGGGUGUUUCUGAUAGUCAACAAACAUAGUUUCUAAUGGCUUGCAACUUUAAGGAAAAUUAUCGGAGUUUUGACCCAAAAUAAGAUAUUAAAAAAAAAAAAAUCAAAAAGUAAAUUGACUUUCAAAAUAAUGCCUGUUGUAGGAGUCUAGGUCAUAAAAUCGUAAUUACAAAUUAUGAUUUUAAAUUUUUUUUAAAUAAGUCAAAACUAUAGUUACUAACUACGGUUUUGAAUCAUUUUCAGUUCAUUUCUUUUUUCGUUUAGGUUUCUUACCUUUAGGUUUUUGCCUUCUUAUUUGUCCUUUUUGUUGUCACUCAUUGCAUUUGGUUGUCUUUGGUUCAUCAUUGGCUGAAAUUCAAUAUUUUCCAAAUUUUCAUAUUGUUCUAUCAUUGGUCAAGUAAGAUUUAUGAGUUUUUUUAGUUUACAUAUAUAUAUAUAUAUAUUUUUUUUGUAAAUCUGUUUGGCUUUCACAUAUUUUAGUUUAUUGUUGUGGAUGUGUUUGGUUUCUGAUUUUAUUUUCAUCUUGAGCUUGGUAGAGAUGUGUUUGGUUUUUUAUUUUAUUUUUAUUGUGAGUUUAGCAAAGAGAAAAAAGUUUUGUUUAGGAAAAGAAAACGGAUAUGGAAUAGAGGGCCACCGUGGAUUUUUUUUUUUUGUUAAAGAUACCAAAAAUGGAGGGGACCAUUGUUAAGAACUCCAAAAAUGUAGGGGACCACAAUUAAAAAUUCCAAAAAUGCAGGGGACUAUAGUUAAGAACUCCAAAUAUGUAGGGUACCACAGUUAAAAACUCCAAAAAUGAAGGAGACCAUUCUUAAGAACUCCAAAAAUGAAGGGGAUGAACAUUGAUUUUUGUUAUAGAAACAGAAAAAAUCAGAGUACUUUGCUUUUAUUUUUCUUCUUCCCACUUUUUAUCGAAUGCUGAGUUAAAGGCAAGCUUUAUAUACAAAUGAGCAUGUAUUUAUUUAUGUUUUCAAUUACCUUCAAUUAUGUUUCAAUCCAUUAUUCUACAAAUAACAAUCAAGAUAGUACUCAAAACUAAUCAACAACAUAUAAAAUUAUGAAACCAAUAACAAAGUAUGAUUGAUAAUGAAUGAUUGGAAUGAACAUUGAAAUAAAACCGGUUAAGCUAAAAAUUCUAUGAGUUGUAUGGAAAUCAUUGACUGUAAUACAAGAGUCACCUAAGCUCCAAGUUGAUGUUAUGAGAAUCAAACAAAAUACAAGGUAAAGUCCAAAGCCUAACAUUCUCUGAGGAAGAUAAAAAAAAAAUUAUAGGGGCUAGUCUAGGAUUUAAUGUUACUCAAAGGUGAUACCAUUCUUGACAUUAAAUGCUAAGUCUUAAUGGUGAAGCACUUAAGUUUCCUAUUCUAUCACUUUGAAGCAAUGUAGUAGUCUAUUUUCUUUUUCAUGAAACAAAUCUAGGUUUCUUUCCACCAUGAUAAUGCAUAAUACUAUAUCAAUAAGCAAACACACACGCAUAGAAUAUGUUGCAACUGACAUAAUAAUUUUUAUUAUACUUCAAAUCAUAAUCCUAUCUUAUCCUUCUAGACUAGCUUCUUUAUAAGAGCCCAUCUAGUUUGGCCAACAAACUAACCACUCUUUUGGUCUUCUAAUUCAUAAAGAACAACCUAGAACAUUUUCAUUAACAUUCCUUCCAUGCCUCUUUUCAAGGGGCCAAUGAAUAAGGCUUUAUCUUCAUAUUCCAUUAUAUCUAACUCAAUUGAAUUAUAUUUAUUACAUAGGCAUUGAACUAAUAGACAUAUGUUAUCUUGCUUUAAUAGUAAUUGAGAUUACUCAAGGCCAGAGGGUUUUUAAAGGAAGAUUAAGAAAUUGACAUCGUUUCAUAUAGAAAUAACACUAAAAGAUGAAAAAUGGGGCUAAUGACUUUUAAAUCUUCUUAACUAAGUACAAAGAAAUGAAAACAUUUAUAAAGUACUGGAAUUUCUAUUGUCAAUUCAAUUCCAUUCUUUUUCCCAAAUUCCUUCAUUCUGGGUAAAAUGUAAAAAUUCAAACUAAUCAAGUUUCUAAAGUUAAUCCAAUUAGGAGAUCUUGCAAUGGAUUUCAUAAUAGAAUAGGUGUUCCGAAAUUUUCUCUAUUAGAGAUUUAAAUCCCUAUUUGAUUCCAAUAUUGGUUAUUGUAGUUUUAUUAAGGUUUUCUCACUUAGAAAGUUUUACAAGAUUCUACAUAGUUGCAACACAACUUAAAAAGAUAUUAGAGUUUGAUUAAUUUAGUCUUUUGGUUUGAUUAUUUAAGCCCAACUUACUUAAUUUCUUCCUCCCCUUAAUUCUACAUCUUUUAGUCAUUCUUUUCCUCCUCAAUUAUUAUGCUAGUCAUAAGUGCAAUACAACUCAAACUAGAUGCCAUUUCUUCAUUUUCUAACCUAAAAACCAAACUUGUAUAACCUUAAAGCCCAUUUCUACCUUCUAGUAAUCAACCCAACAUCCAAAACCAAAUUCCAACAACUUAUUUUCUAGAAUUCCAAUAAUAUUUAUUUAUCUGAGAACCCAUAAAAAUUGGCUUCCGUCUUCAAAAACCUAAGCCAUAACCUCUCAUAGGCUUCCACCCACCAAAUUAAGUGAGUCUCUAGUACCUUCAGAAAUGUUGUCUCUACCAUGUGUCCAAUAGCUACUUUUGAUCUCAAAAAUAUAUUCACAUCUUCAUCUAUAUAUCUAAUAUAUACAACUUGGAAUGAAAAUUUCAAAUAUGACACAAUAUCCAUAGAUAUAACAUUGAGAUUCUCAAAAUUAUCAACACAUCAACACAUUCACUUUGCUUAGUCAUAGACACAAAUAAUUAUUAGUUAUUCGAUAUCUUUAAUGUUUCUUUAUGAAUUAAAAUUCAUAUUUGCAUUGAGGAAACAAUUUCUACUACUUUAUGGAAGAGACUUGAUAUUAUAAAAGGUUUAUAUCCAAUAUCAGAAAAUGAAAAUACUAUUACUAUUGCUUAAAUGGAGUGCAUGCUAUUGCCACUUCUUCUAUAUUGUAUUCUUGUGUAUCUUUAUCCUUAAAAAUGAUUUAUUAUCUAAAUAAUAUAAUUGAGAUAUCAAUUAUUUAUGCAUUUGAUGAGUUUCAACCCAUUUUUAAAACUUAAAUCUACAGGAGAAUUCAAACUAACAUGUUGCUAACAAAGUCGAUUUCAAGUAACCUAUUACUAAAAAAGCUAAAGAAAAGCACAAUGCUCUUAUAUUCUACAAUUGUUUUAAGUUAUUAAUUUGCUUCAAGCUAUUUCCCAAAACUCUCAUAGUUAGAAAAUCCCUAUAAAGGCAUCUCAUAGUGUAAAACCCGGAUCAAAGAAGCUAUCUUCUCCAUAUUUGCAACAUUUUUAGAUGGUCCAACUUGAAGAUCCUUUUAAUCAUUUUCUUCUUUUGGUGCUUGGUCCUAUGUUAUUGGUUCCCAAUACCAUCCAUAUCAGAUUUACUCCCACUCAGGCCAAAAAAAUAAUCUCUUCAGUAUAGAUAUGUUCAAAAGCAAGUAAUUUCUUGGGUUCAUAUACUUAUAGUGUAUGGCUUAAUAAUAAUGUGUAUUUAUGUCCCCUUAGGUAAUGAAAGUUUAACUCUAUACAAACUCCAAGUGGCAUCAAUUGGGUUAAGCAACAAUUUGCUUGACUUAUAUUUGGGUAUGGUAGAUGAAUGUCUUGGUGGAAUGAUGAUUUCUUCAUAUACCACAUGGUGCUUAAAGCAUUCAAACUCGAAUUGCUUAUUGUAGUUCCAAUAAACAUGCUUUUAUAAAAUAAAAAAAAAAGAAUAAGAUCACAUAUAUAAAGAAGGAAUAUACAAAGAAGGAUGAGAAAAUACUCAAAGGAGAGCUAAAAGUUUUCUUAAUUGCUUUAUAUAUGGUUUAAAGUAAAAAGAAUUAUUAAUAUUAAACAGAUUUAUUAAAUGUCUAUUUGUUUUCAUUUUUAAAAUGUUUAUAUAUAAACAUAUUAUUUAUUUUUAAUAUUAAAAUAAUGUUUGAAAUUUUUUUUAAAAGAUGAUUUUUUUUAAAAAGUUUGUUAAAUGUGUUUUUUAAAUUAAAAUUAAAAUUAAAUAGAUUUAUAAAAUGUUUAUUUGUUUUCAUUUUUAAUAUGUUUAUAUAUAAACAUAUUACUUCUUUUUAAUAUUGAAAUAAUGUUUAUAUAUAUAAAUGAUUUUUUUUCUAUAAUUGUGUAUUUGAUAUUUUAUUAAUAUAUUUUUUUAGUGGUGAGUUAUCUUUUAUUUGAUUUUUAGAUUUAAUUUUUUUUUCUACUUUUAGGUUUAAUCAAAUAUCAAGUGAUUUAUGAAUAACAACAUAAUUAUUUAAUUAAAUAUUAUUUAAUGGUUAAUAAUAUUUUAUUUUAUUUUAAUAUAUGAUAUUUUAUAUAAAAUAAAAUAAAAAUUAUAGGUGGAUUAUUUUUUAUUUAAUUUUGAGAUUCUUCUAAUUGUUUAGCCUUUUAGGUUUCACUAAACAUUUAUUGAUUUAUAGCCCACUAUCUAAGUUUUAAAUAAAAAUUUUAUCAAAUAUUUAUCUAUGAAUAUAUUUAUAUCAUAGAUAACUAUUUAAAUAAAAAAUUUAUUAUUAUGAAGUGAUUUAUAUUUUUCCCCAUAAUGUGUAAGAAGGUGUUUUAUUAUACAAUUGUGUAUUCACGUGAUAAAAGAUUAUACACAAUUUCUCUUGAACAUUCUUGUAUGUGUGUUUUUGUAAUUAUUUUAAUAAACAAGUAUGUUAAGUUCAAAACACAAAGACUUGGUAUUAUUUUCAUUGAUUAUUAAACCAUUUGAUAUUUUAUUUUUUGUAGGUAAAUCAUGUCUGAAUCUAUUGUUCCUAUGAUUUGUUUUUGUAAAGGAAAAAUGUUGAGGACAGAAACAAAUGUAAAAUAUGUUGGUGAUCAAGUUGUAAUUGUGUCUUUGGAUGUGCCUAUUAGUUCAACAUAUCUAUCUAUGAUAUACUCAAGAACUGGCAUUGACAAAAAAUAAUUUCAAUUAGUCCUCAACUGUAGGUAUCAUUUAAAAAAGGAAAAUAGGUUUCAACCUUGUCCAAUAUGGGAUGAUAAUACUUUAUACCAAAUGUUGAAAUUGGUUAACACAUUUGGAAUGGACGAAAUUGAAUUGUAUAUUGAACAAGUGCUAGUACAAGCACGAGUGAGAGGGCAAUUAUUGGGUAACUUGACACAUUUAUUACUUGGAGAAAAUGAUAAUGUUGAGGAAUUUGAGUAUGGUUGUGGACCUAGUAGCGCCCCAGUUGCAAUGACUUAUGAGUGUAGAGAAGAUGAAGAUGAAGAAGAAUGUGAAUCCCAAGAAGGUGAUGAUGAAAGUGAGGGAGCAGAAGAUGUUCAACAUGAUGGCAAUGAGACAUUCAAAUUUAUGGAUGAGAAAACAAUAAUGUUAAUGUUGUUUCAUCUUUCUUAGCUCUUCACGAAGCAAUGGAAAAUGAACAAGGAAGAUAUGUCUUCGUGGAUGGGGAAGGUUGUGAUGUGUCAAAUAACCCAGAUCCUGAGGACCCAAUGGAGUUUUCCCCUGUUCAGUAUCACUCGGCACCAUCUUUGCAAUUUGAAAAUGUAGAAAACAUUAGUAUUGUCGUUUCAAGUGACUAGACCCCAUGGGGGAACACUAAUAUUGGAAACUCAGGUGGAGAGUUCAUGGUUGGCCAAGUUUUUAAUUCAAAAGUAGAUUUAGAACAUGCUGCGAAGUUGUACUCUUUUAGUGCACAUGCACCAAGUGUAUGUUCUUGUUUUGUUAACUAAAAAGUUGUUUGUCUUAAGAUGCAAUAAGAUUGAACAAUCUCAAUGUCCAUAGAAGCUUCGUGUUAUGGUCAUAAAAGGUACAUCUUUAUUUGCAAUCAAUAAAUACAAUGGUAUGCACAAAUGUGUAAAUCAUUGCUUGAAUCGGGACCAUUGACAAUUAGAUUUCAACUUGAUUGCUGCUCAUAUCAAAGGAAUGAUUAAGGCACAAUUCACAUUGUCAGUGGUUGCUAUUCAAACAAGUAUUAUGGAGAUAUUCAAAUAUCAAAUAUCAUACAAGAAGACAUCUAAAGUGAAGCUUAAAGUACUUACAAACUUAUUUGGUGAUUUUUAUAAGUCAUAUGCAGAGCUGUCACAUUUUUUUCAUUGGCUUAGAGCAGGCAAAUUCAGGAUGUGUUGUAAUUUCAAAAACAUUUCCUAGUAUUAUGGAGAAUAUAGAGAUAUUUUAGUGAGUUUUUUUUUAACAUUUCAUCUAUCUAUUGAAGGUUUCAAGCAUUGUCGGCUCGUACUUAGUAUUGAAGGUACACGUUUGUAUGGGAAAUAUAAAAACACUUUAAUGAUUGCUAUGGUUUGUGGUGGAAAUAAUCAGUUAUUCUCAUUGGCUUUUGUCCUAACAGAGGGUGAGAAUAUUGAUAGUUGGGGAUGAUUUUUGGCAUGCAUUAGAACUAGAGUAACUCAUAGGAGGGGACUUUGUGUUAUAUCAUAUCGACAUUUAGGCAUUAUGGUUGAAAUGAACGAUGUUCAGCUUGGUUGGUCUGAGCCAUAUGCAUAUCAUAGGGUUUGUAUGUGUCAUCUUGCCAGCAAUUUUAUGACUCAAUUCAACGAUAAAAUAUUGAAAAAUCUGAUGUGCAAAGCAGUCUUAGCAACCAAGAUUGAAAAAUUCAAUAAACAUAUAAACACAAUUGGAAGGAUUAAUGCAACCACACAACAAUGGUUAGAAGCAAUCCCUUUUGAGAAAUGGGCUCUCUCUCAUGACGGAUGUUGAAGGUAGGACAUCAUGACUACAAACAUGUCAGAGGUGUUCAAUAGUGUGUUUAAAAGGGCUCGUAGCUUACCCUUAACUGCUUUGGUUCAAUUGAUAUUUUUUCGGCUAAAUAGUUACUUUGUUGUGAAAAGGGAACAAAGUGUUAAUUGACUUGCUUCGAAUGAGGAAUACACUCCAUAUGUCAAUGCUAAGAUUAAGGCAAACGUGGUUAAGGCGGGAUCUCAUGAGAUUGUUUUAUAUGAUCACAUCCAAGGAUGAUUCCAUGUGAAGACUAGUAGGGGUACUAAGAGUAGCUCAACUGGUGGUCAAACAUAUCGCUUCAACUUACAUGAGCAUGCAUGCAUGUAUGGUAAAACACUCAUAUAUGGAUUCCCAUGUAGCCAUAUUCUAGUAGCAUAUCAUUUUUGUUUAGUUGAUUUUAGACCACUUGUUGAACACUACUACAGUACACAAUUAUACUAUAAUACUUAGGCACCUUUGUUCCAUCCCAUUUUCAAUGUAUAUGAGUGACCUCCUUAUGAUGGUCCGAUUAUCGUGCCUUCUAAGUUGAUGAAACGUGCAUCAAGUGGAUGACCUAAAUCAAGUCAUUUACAUAAUGAAAUGGAUGUUAGAGAGGACAAGACUUCUAUUACAUGUAGGUAGUGUAAACAAAGUGGCCACAAUCGCCGCUCUUGUCAAAAUAGCAAUAGAGUUGAUUAUACCAUGUGAUGUAUGCAUGUAAUUUUCUUGGAUAUUGUGAUGUAAGCUACUAUGAUACUAUUUUUAUGCAAUUAUUGACUUUGGUUUGAUUAUAAAUAUUGAUGUUAUUUGUAUAAUCAGGUGAUUUGUAUUUGGGAUCAUUUUCAUAUUAUAAGGGAAACUCUAUCAAAAUUUUGAAAUUUUCUAUUAAAAAUGUUAACAAAAUGUUCCAUUGUAUUUGUAUCUUUAAUUUUAAUUUAGACUAGUAUGACUUGUUUAUUGGUCAUAAAUGAAUUGAUCUACUUAAAUUUAUUAAAUCGAUAUAUACUUAAUAUAGAGGAAACUCCAUAAAUUUUUAAAACUUUUCCAUUAUAAAUAUUUUUAUUUAAAAACAAUAAGUAUUAUUUAUUUAUCUUCACAAUUUUGUUACAGAUAUAGAGUAUAGAGGACAUAGUUUUGAUCCAGAUCCAUUAGAUACAUUUGUUUUGGUUCUACAGGAUAGACAUAAGUCUCAUUUAGUUGACUCUAGUCAGGUAUGUAUAUGAAAGCAUAUAAUAUAUUUUUAAAGAAUGAAAAAAAAAUUGAAGUUUAUUAUGUAAAUGAUUUAUUUGUAUUUUUAUAGCUUGUUUCAGUCUUAACUUAUCGACAACAUAUAUCUAGGUUUAUGUGAGAAUGGGAGAUGGAUCCUCGUCUUCAACCUUAUAUUAUUCGAUCUAGAUUGUAUGGUGUAUGUCGUAUUGGACACAUUACACUAGAUUGGGGACUAAUCACUAAUCUAGUUGAGAUAUGGCAUUCUGAGACACACACAUUUCACCUACCUAUUGGAGAUAUGACCAUUACUUUACAGGAUGUUGCUAUCAUAUUAGGACUUCGUAUUCAUGAGCAUCCCAUCACUGACACAUGUGACAUAGAUUGGUCAUUGCUAUGUUAUGAACUUUUAGGUGUGACUCUUCCUACAUAUGAGAUUAAAAGGUCAACGAUAUCAACACGAUGGCUAUGUCACCAAUUCUCUUAUCCAUUGAUUGAUUCAGAUAAUGCUACAUUAGAGCGGUAUGCAUGAGCUUUCAUAUUAGCACUACUAGGCUCAACACUAUUUAUAGACAAGAAGAGUACCCACAUCCAUAUGUGUUAUCCCCAUUGCUUAGAGACUUAACUCAGAUAUCUAUGCAUAGUUGGGGCAGUGCAAUAUUAGCACACCUAUAUAGGGUCAUUAAUGACAUAUGAGAUCAAUUUGACAAAGAAGCUACAAAAGGGUGAAGACAAAAAGAAGAAGAGCAUAACCCUCAAAGCUACAACCAAGGAAAAAGAAGAUGUUGAAGAAGAAAAGCCAAGUGAUGAAGAUGAUGAUUUAGCCCUCAUCACAAGAAAGCUUAACAAAUUCAUGAGAGGUGAAAGGUUUAGAGGAAGGAAAUUUACCUCUAGAAGAGAUCUUUCUAAAAAGGAAUCUUCAUCCCAUGGUGACAAGGAGAAAUGGGAAGAGAAAAGAGAUUUGAUAUGCUUUAAGUGCAAAAAACCGGGACACAUUAAAUAUGAUUGUCCUCUCUACAAGAGUGAAGCCAAGAUAAGAAUGAAGAAGGCAAUGAUGGCCACUUGGAGUGAAAGUGAAGAAUCCUCCGAAGAAGAAAAGAAGAAGGAAAUAGCAAACAUGUUCUUCAUGGCAAUAGAUGAUCUUGAUAAGGAAUCAAAGAAGGAUAAGUGAUUCUUGGAUAAUGGAUGCUCAAGACACAUGACCGGGGAUGAAUCCAAGUUUACUUUCUUUACAAAGAGAAAUGGAAGAUACGUUACCUUUGAAGACAAUUCAAAAGGAAGGAUCAUUGGCCAAGGCAACAUUGGUAAUGACACAUCUUCUCUUAUUGAAAGUGUUUUACUAGUGGAUGGUUUAAAACAUAAUAUUUUGAGCAUAAGUCAACUUUGUGACAAAGGUUUUAAAGUGAUUUUUGAAGCAUCUCAUUGCAUCAUCAAAGAUAUUCAAAAUGAUAAAACCAUCUUCAUGGGCCAUAGAUGUGAUAAUGUUUAUGUAAUAAAUAUUUCAAAAUAUGAUGGCCAUGAUAGAUGUUUUUCAAGCAUGCAUGAUCAAAGUUGGUUGUAGCAUAGGAGGUUGGGACAUGCUAACAUGGACCUCAUUUCCCAACUCAACAAAGAUAAACUUGUUAGAGGCCUUCUCAAAAUAAAUUUUCAAAAAGACAAAGUUUGUGAAGCUUGUCAAAUGGGAAAGCAAAUCAAAAACUCUUUUAAAAACAAAAAUUUCAUUUCAAAAACUAGGCCUCUUGAAUUGUUGCAUAUGGAUUUAUUUAGUCCCUCUAGAACACCAAGCCUUUGAGGAAAAUCUUAUGCUUUUGUUAUUGUGGAUGACUUCUCUAGAUACACUUGGGUCUUAUUUUUAAAUCAAAAGAAUGAAGCCUUUUAUGAGUUUUAAAAGUUUUGUAACAAGGUUCAAAAUGAAAAAGAUUUUACAAUUACUUGUAUAAGAAGUGAUCAUGGGAGAGAAUUUGAAAAUAUUGAUUUUGAAGACUAUUGCAAUGAGUAUGGUAUUAACCACAAUUUUUCGGCUCCUAGAACUCCUCAACAAAAUGGGGUAGUUGAAAGGAAAAAUAGAACUCUUCAAGAAAUGGCUAGAACCAUGCUAAAUGAAAACAAUUUACCAAAAUACUUCUAGGUCGAAGCGGUUAACACUUCUUGUUAUGUUUUAAAUAGAAUUUUAUUGAAGCCUAUUCUUAAGAAAACUCCCUAUGAGCUUUGGAAAAACAAGAAACCCAACAUUAGCUAUUUCAAAGUCUUUGGAUGCAAAUGCUUUAUAUUAAAUAUCAAAGAUAAUCUUGGAAAAUUUGAUGCAAAAUUGGAUGUUAAAAUUUUUCUUGGUUACUUAACUUCAAGUAAAGCCUUUAGAGUUUUUAACAAAAGAACCAUGGUUGUUAAGGAGUCAAUCCAUGUUAUUUUUUAUGAAUCUAACAAUUCUCUCCAAGAAAGAGAGAGCUUUGAUGAUGAUUUAGGUUUGGAGACUUCCAUGGGAAAAUUACAAAUUGAAGAUAGAAGGCAACAAGAAGAAAUUGUAGAGGAUCCCAAGAAAGAAGAAUCACCUUUGGCACUACCUCCUCCUCAACAAGUGCAAGGUGAAUCAAGCCAAGACCUCCCUAAAGAUUGGAAGUUUGUCAUCAACCACCCACAAGAUCAAAUUAUAGGUAAUCCAUCUAGUGGGGUAAGAACUAGAUCAUCUCUUAGAAAUAUUUGCAAUAAUCUUGCUUUUAUCUCUCAAAUUGAACCUAAAAAUAUAAAAGAUGCACUAGUUGAUGAAAAUUGGAUGAUUGCUAUACAAGAAGAGUUAAACCAAUUUGAAAGAAGUGAAGUAUGGGAAUUAGUGUCAAGACCUCAAAAUCAAAGUAUUAUUGGAACUAGAUGGGUCUUUAGAAAUAAAAUGGAUGAAAAUGACAUAAUUAUAAGGAAUAAAGCAAGAUUGGUAGCCCAAGGUUUUAAUCAAGAAGAAGGGAUAGAUUAUGAAGAAACAUUUGCUCCCGUAGCUAGAUUGGAAGCCAUUAGGAUGCUACUUGCCUUUGCAUGUUUUAAAGACUUUGUUUUAUAUCAAAUGGAUAUGAAAAGUGCUUUCUUAAAUGACUUUAUAAAUGAAGAGGUAUAUGUUGAACAACCACCCGGUUUUCAAAGUUUUAACUUUCCUAAUCAUGUUUUUAAACUUAAAAAACCACUUUAUGGUUUGAAACAAGCACCUAGAGCAUGGUAUGAAAGAUUGAGUAAAUUUCUUUUGAAAAAAGGUUUUAAAAUGGGAAAAAUUGACACAACUCUUUUCAUAAAAACCAAAGAAAAUGACAUGCUCUUAGUACAAAUAUAUGUUGACGAUAUCAUUUUUGAAGCUAUUAAUGUUUCUCUUUGUGAAUAAUUUUCUAAAUGCAUGCAUAGUGAGUUCAAAAUGAGCAUGAUGGGAGACCUUAACUUCUUCCUUAGACUUCAAAUCAAGCAACUAAAGGAAGGAACCUUCAUCAAUCAAGCAAAGUAUAUAAGAGAUCUUCUCAAAAGGUUCAAUAUGGAGGAAGCCAAAACAAUGAAGACUCCAAUGAGUUCAUCCAUCAAGCUUGACAUGGAUGAGAAAGGUAAGUCCGUCAACUCAACUAUGUAUAGAGGCAUGAUAGGUUUUUUGUUAGAUUUGACCACUAGUAGACCCGACAUCAUAUAUAAUGUAUGUUUGUGUGUUAGAUUUCAAUCUUGUCCUAAAGAAUCUCAUUUAAGUGUUGUAAAACGAAUUCUUAGAUAUUUAAAAGGGACAAUAGACAUAGGUCUAUGGUAUCCUAAGGGUGAUAACUUUGAAUUAAUUGGAUACUCGGAUACCAACUUUGCCGGUUGUAAAGUUGAGAGGAAAAGAACUAGUGACACUUGUCAUUUCCUAGGACACUCACUUGUUUCAUGGCAUAGUAAGAAGCAAAAUUCGGUAGCUUUGUUUACGGCGGAAGCCGAAUACAUAGCAGUUGGUUUAUGUUGUGCACAAAUCCUUUGGAUGAAACAAACACUUAGUGAUUUCAAUUUGAUUUUUAAGCAUGUUCCUAUUAAAUGUGAUAACACUAGUGCCAUAAACAUUUCAAAAAAUCCGAUGCAACACUCUAGGACUAAGCAAUAGAGAUUAGACUCCAUUUUCUUAGAGAUCGUGCACAAAAGGGUGACAUUACACUUGAAUUUGUAAGCAUAAAAGAUCAACUUGCCAAUAUUUUUACAAAACCCCUAAGUGAAGAGCAAUUUGUUGAUAUUAGAAGACAACUAGAGGUGAUUUCUUUAUAAUCAAAUGAUUGCUUGAUGAAUUCUUGAUUGAAUAUACCUUAUGAUUGCGUGAAUUUCAUAUCAUAAGCAUUAUAUAGAAAUAAUCUUAGGAAAGAGGUCAAAUUUUGACCAAAAAUCAAAAUUCUCGUGGCAUUGGAUAUAAAAAAUUGGGGAUUUCAAUUGAAAAGGGCAGAGGGAGGAUCAUGAGACAAGAAAAUGCAAAAAAUUGGACCGUUGACCGUUGACCAUUGACCAAGCGGUCGACCGGUUCCUCAACCGGUCGACCGAUUCGUCGAGGCUGGGAAUCUAAAGAGGCCCCCACGCGUUAUUUCUCUCACUGUUCUCUUUCACUCCUUGAAAACCCUUCACAUACCUGCUUCCAGAUAUCAUUUUGGGUUGGAUUUUGGACUGAUUGAAGGCUUUGGAGUUGAUUUUGGGACGUUUUGAGGCUAGGGUUUUGAUUUGAAACCCAGGGUUUCAGUUUUUGGGGGUGAUUUCUCUCUGACCACACUCCUCAAGCUUGGAUUCAGCCUCAUCUCCAUGCACCUAGGGCUUCGGGUUGGUGUUUGCUUUCUCUUAUUUGAUUUCAUUCUCCCUUUGGACUUCUCUUUCUCUCUAUCCCGUUCAUUGGAUGGCUCCAAGGCAAGAGACGGGGACCUCCAGGGCUCAGGGAAAGUGCCCUGUUGAGCCAUCUCAGCCUGAGCAGACGGAGGCUUGCCAAAAGGCGAGGUAUGACACGACCCUUUUCAGUUCCGUCGAAGACUAUCAGCGAUACAAACAAAAAUUCACCCAGAGGAAAGUCGUUUUAGGGAGAAGUAUCAAUUUCUCCCAACUUCAGCACUUCGGGUUUGAGAGACUUUUUUUUUCGGAUGGGAUGGUUGCCAGUUGUGACGAUUUUCGAGCCGAUCUUCCUGACUCUGGUGCGGGCUUUUUAUUCCCGGACGACCUAUGGGCUUGGAGGACCAGUCUUGUCCAUAGUUAGAGGAGUUGAGAUCAGAUUGAGCCCGGAGAGUAUCUGUUGCAUUCUCGACAUUCCUGCAGUUGGACUUUGAGUGUAUGAGGCCAAGGCGUGGCCCACUGUGUCGGGAUUCGAGCCUAGAGAGGUUGUUCAGAGGUUGUGUGGACUCACAGAUGCCUAGGGGAUGGGCAAACCAUCAGCACACAGCUUGACCGUGCCCAGCCGAGUCCUUCAUCACAUGAUUUGCUCCAUCUUAUUGCCACGAGGAGGACAUCGAGACGAGGUCUCCUACCUUGAGGCAUUCAUUGUGGACUCGAUUCUGACUGGACGAUGGAUUCACGUGGGAUAUCUGAUGAUGAUGCAUAUGAUAUCCUGCAUUGAGAGCAUGACAGGAGUACUCCCCUACGGCCGUUUCCUUAGCCGAGUAUUCAAGGAUGCUGGGGUCAACUUGAACAGAGAGACGGACUUCGAGGCCCCCACUAGCUAUGACACGUACGAUGAGCAGUCCUUGAGGCGAUUGAAGUUCGAGAAGGCACCUGAUGACUCUUGGAUUAGGAGAGCUGAGCAACAGGCCCGGGGUCAAGGACAGAUGCAUCCCGGAGCAGAGGAUGAGGCCAAGAUCAGAGAGAUGGAGGAUGGAUUAGACCCUUAGAGGGAUUUUGAGUAGAGAGGGCCCGAGCUUGACAUUUGACCUCCACCUCAGUCAGAGGGUAUUCAUGUUGAGGCUACUUUCUCAAAGCCUAUGAUGACUGCGUCGUCUUACACAACAGGACCAUCAUUUCAGCCAUUAUUUACUGAGCUUCCUCACACAGAGCUACCAUCUCAAGCACCUCACGCUCCUGAUCAUGCGCCUUGGAUGUAUGUCUCAGUUCAGAUCAGUCCCUUGGGACUCGUAUGGAGGAGCUUACUUUAGUUCAUGACACUCGUUUCUAUUUUAUGGAAGAGUACAUGGAUCAGUAUCAGACUAGUGUCACUUCUCGAUUUGAGCACUUCCAGUAGAGAUUUGAGCGCAUAAAGGAGCGUAUGGAUCAGCAGCAGGCUACAUUCGAGCAUCUCCAAUAAAGUAUUAAUCGCAUUGAGAGUCGCCAGGCGAGUCAACAUGAGGAGAUGAUGGCUUACCUCCGCUCUGUGUUUCCUCCUCCACCCCCUCAGCCUUAAGAUUAUCUAGAGUUCCCCCUCAGUUUUUUUUUUAUUUUUUAUGUUGCCAAUAGGGGAGAAAUAUAUAGGAUCUAGGAAACCCUCAUGCAUGUCAUUGUCAUCAUUGUCAUAUCUAUCUUGUUUAGCAUAUGUUUUCGUGUACAUGUGAGGUUACCAUAUAUAUAUGAUAUGAUAUUUUCAUGAUUCAUUGCUUCCUAUUCAAAAUUUCGUGUUUUACAUUGUUUCCUAUUAAAAAUUGUUUAAUUGAUCCAUGAUUGGUUUGAGGAGGAGAUUUUUUUCUCUCCUAGAUAACCAAGGUUUGUCAUCAUAAAAAAAGGGGAGAUUGUUAGCCCAAAGGUUCUCCUAAUCAGGUUUUGAUGAUAACAAACCAUGGUUAAGUGACUAAUUUGUUUAAUGGUUAAGAAUCUCAGGCAUAAACUCAAAAAUUCAUCAAAUGACCAAAUGGAUAUAAGAUUGAGACGCUUGGAAGACUUGUGAUCAUAGGAAACUAAUGAAAGAUGAAUGCAUGAGUGCACUUAGGUGUUUCACAUGUUUCAUGCAACAUAGAAAACUCAGUUUAUUAUUUAAAACUUCGAUUUCAUUAAAACCCGAGUUUUUAACUAAUGUACCUUAGGCAAAAUGUUUUAUAAUUGCUUAAUAAUUCACCUAAAAACCUUACCUAAGUGUUAGAAAAGAAAGGAAUUAAAAAAUAGGUUUUCAGGGCCAAAAAGGCUCAACCGGUCGAGGUUAUGGCCAACCGGCUCAACCGGUCGAGGUUAUGGCCAACCGGUUGAGGAAUCGGUCGACCAGUUGUACUCGUUCGGUCGAGAGAUGUCAAAACUUUCUCCCUCUCCCAAUGGUCUUCUCUUCCCGGUUGAGGUUCGGUCGAGACAACGGUAACCUGUCAAACAUUAAAUGCUCCAACGGCUAGUGAACUGGUCGACCCCUAGCUCGAUUAGACGAGGUUACCUUUUGCUGUUUUUGACUCCCGAGCUUAGACACCUAUAAAUUGAGAGCUCCACUUCAUUUAUUAACAAAAUAACACUUUCAUUCAAUAAUUUACCUACCCCUUCUUGAUCAAAAAACUCUCAUUUCUUUCAUAGUGUAUUAAAUCACGACUUGCAUAUUCUUUAGUGCACUCUUGUGUGUCAACCUAGCUUUGUCUUGUAUUUAAGCUAUUCUUAAGCUAGGUUGAGGAAUUCUUUCUUGUAAAAAUCGGAGUGUUAAAGCCUUCAACAGGUUCGAAUCUUGAAGAGAUUGUGUAAGAGCCCAUUGGAACCGAAAUCCAAGUGUAAGAAGAUUGAAAGCUUGGUUGAAGCGUCAAGUUAGUGGAACCCUCACUCAGUUAGGAGAUUGAGGAGAGUGGACGUAGGCAAGGAAGUGUCGAACAACUAUAAAACCCGAGUUUGAAUUUUCUAACUCUAUUUCUUUAUUUUGCUUAUAUUGUGUUCGAAUUUAUUGUGAUUGAAAAGAUUUUAAAAACCCAAUUCACCCCUCUCAGUGUUUUUCUUAUUUAAGCAUAACUUUUGUUUUCUCAAUUUUCAUCUAUUUAUCAAACAAUUAAACUAAAUAGUGAAUUGAUUGGAAAAACAAAGGUAUUUUCUUUCUAGAAUUCUAUAUUUUAAGAAGUGGAAGAACAAAUUCUAUUAGGUUACAUGGUAUUUUAAGUUUAAAAUUUCAAACCUUUCCAUUUCAUUUUGAAAGGAAAAAAAUGGAAAAAAAAAAUAUUUUUGUUGUAUUUAAGUCAUUUUCCAAUCAUAUAAUAUGACUUCACUUAAAUCAACGAAGAAAUAGUUUUUUUUUUUUUUUUUAAGAUAAUUGCACAUUUUUUUUUCUUGUAAAAUAGAAAAGAGAUCCCUAAUUUGUACAAAGUUUUAAUUGAAAACUUGUUGAACAUCGUUGUAUACUUAUUUAAUUAAUUUUUUUCCUCAUAAAAUAGAAGAUAAAAUCAAGGAUGAUAAUGUGACAAAUUCAAGACGGGUGUAGGGUUGCACCCAUCCCAACUCUGCCUUAUUUAUUGAAAAUAAUUUUCAUCCCUAUCUCAUUAAAAAAAUUAAACAGGUGGGGUGAGGAUGCAAAUUUCCCAUACCCGUCCCACCUUGUUUCAUUUAACUUUUUCUGAAGUUUUUUUUUAAUUAUUUAAAAAAAAUUAAUUACAUUAAAAUCAAUAUUUUAUAAAUAAUUAAAAUAUUUUAAUUUUUUUAUAACUUAUUGUUUUAUUAUUAUUAUUGAUUUUAUAACUUAUAUUAAAAAUAGGUAAAUUAAAAUUAAUUUUAUCUAUAAUUAGGGGUAAGACAAGACAAUACCUGAACCCACUCAAAACCUGUCUUAAGUUUUAAAAAUGAUCACAAAUUUAAGAGUAUGAAAAGUACCCGAAAAAACUUGACUUAUUGUCAUCCAUAAGAGUGAUCCUCUAUUUAUAGAAAAUUUUAACUUAAAAGCUUGUUAAAGCUUAUGAUAUGGUUAUUUUCUUCUCUUUCUCAUAAAAGGAUCCUCUAUUUUUUAGAAUUUUUUUUAACAAAUAGAUAAUUCUCUCUAACACUUAGAUUAUGUUUGGCUAAAAAAAAAAAUACUAAGAAUGCAAAUAAAAGGUAAGGAAAAAAAUACAAAAAAGAUGGAGCUAAAUAUUUUAAUGUGUAAUUUAAUUUUCUCUCCAUUAAUUAUUCCAUCAAUAAUCAAAUAAGAGAAUUUUUUUUUAAAAAAAAAUCUUAUUUAUUUAUUUAUUUAUUUAUUUUGGUUAUGUUUUUCUUAUUUAUUUAUUCCUUUCUUUCUUUUGGUUAUGUUGGGUUUAUAAAAGAUUUAAGAAAUAAAAUAAAAAGAAAACGUAAAAGAAAUGAAAAAAUUAAAAGAAAAUAAAAGAUAGAUUUAUUAGAGACAUGAAGAUUCACAAGAAUAUUAUGAGGGCUUUGGUUAGGUUGACAAGUCGGGAUCGAAAGCUCCUGUACACCCACCAACUCCAUAACGUUAGAAGUGCUUAAAGGCUAUGUAGUGAGGCCGUGGGUAGACAGAAAUCGAAUCAAUCAACAACUUUCUUUUUUGGCCAAGUGUUUUUUUCGAGAUCCAUCCAAAUUUAUGUAAGAUGGAUCCAUAUCAUUUUUCAACCAUGUGGACCACACCGGCAACUGUUUGUUUCCCAAGAAAAUGAUGUUUUUUUACCACUUGGUGAUAUAACUUCUUAUGCCAUUUUAAUAUGUUGUAUUAAAAUAGAGAUAAACAAAUAAUUAAUACACUCCAUGAACCUUCUGUCUGAAAAUUUAUUUGAUCUAAAAUGAAAAUCCAAUUUAUUAAUGCUUUGGGUCAAAAUCAUGGAGCGUGGAGUCAAUGAAAUCCUUGACAUCAUCAUCCAUGGCUUCAGCGUGUGAGGGAUCAGAGCACUCUAUGCCAUGGUGGCCGCCAUCUUUGAAUUUCGCCACCACGUGCACCCCACGCGCCUCCAUCAUCUCCACAACCCUCCUCUGUCUGUCAACCAGUGGAUCUCCACCGUACCCUAUCACCAGACACUUCUGUAGCCGUCCGAUCUUCUCCUGGUAGGACCCUCCCGCCAGUGGAUUACUGUACUCAUGAUCACGAUCAGCGCCGUCGGGCAAUGCAAGUGCCCAUAACAGAUCGUUGGCCGGCAACGGCAAGUUCCGACCCUCCGCCAGUCUCAGUUCCGAUUCGGUCCUCUCCACCCCACCGAAGUAGGGCUGAUUCAGUACCAGCCCUUGGAUCUUCAUCGCCCCAAGAUCAGCAUCAAGUGCACGUAGACCUGCGUGGAACACCAUGUUUGCUCCUGCACUGCCCCCCAUCAAAAAGCACUUGGAAAAAUCAGCGUACUCUCUCAACCACGGCUCACCGCCGUCGAUCUCCGCAGCCGCCUGGCUCCGGACCCACAUGAUGGCUUCGGCGGCGUCUUCGUAGGCAGCCGGGAGACGGUGCUCCGGCGCGAGACGGUACUCGAGGGACAGGACCAGAGCUGGAAGCUUAGCUGCCAUGGAGUUGCAAGUUUCAUGGAAAGGCGGAGUAGAGACGCUGGCGACAACGAACCCACCUCCAUGAAAGUACAAGAUGACUGGAAGCUUGGUGUUUGGAGGAAGAAGACGAGGCCGGAAGAGGCGGAGAAAGGUGUUGUUGGCGGGGUUGAGAGGCACAUCUUUGGAAAAAGCCACGGCGGAGUCGGAGGCGGCGGUUUCAUCAGUAGCAGCUAGGGAGAGAUGUGAGCUACGGCGAGUGAAAGAGCCAUCUGGGUUAGGGACGAGGCCGAUGGAGUUAUAAGCGUCCAUGGAGGAUGGUGGUGGCGCAGAGUCUGCUAUGGCUAUUUGAGUGGUGAGAGUUUGUUUUGAAGAAGAUAUACAAAGGAGUCUGGCUGGGUAGCCGUAUAGGAUAUCAAUGGAGCUAUGGUUGGUGUAUAAUUUAUAUAAGGUGAGGGGAUUUUUGGUAAGAGUACAGUAAUUUUAUAAAAUAAUUCUUAAAUUAUCCUAAAAAAAAUAAUUUCAUAUAUACGAUAGUUUUUAUAAGUGAUAUUUCUUUUCUUUAUCCAGUUGGAAACAGUAUUUUAAAAAGACGAUUUCCCAAAAAAAAAAAAAAAAAAGCAAUUAAAUAGAAAUAGUCUAUUUUAAAAAAUAAUAAUAAUUGAAAAUCGUAUCUUGAUGCAGCUAUUUCCCUGCUUUUUCGGUACCAAACUUACUCUUCGGUCUAAAAUCAUCUCAUUGUUUAACAUCAUAACAUCAGGACUUUUGUUCAAAGCUAAUCACACUCUAAAGACUCACUCCUUUCUUUCCAUUGUCUACACUUCAUACUUCUGUACUCUCUGUUUAGCUCAUUUCCUUCCAUCCACCCUCAAUCUUCUCCACACCAAUCUCAUCUUCUCAACCUCUAUAGUUUAUAUAUUCCAUUUUUCCACAUUUCUUGAUUUUCUCAAUCAAUAUAGUCUCAAAAAAAAAAAAAAAAUUCCACCAAUUUGCUAAUUUUUUUUGUGGAAUUUGUAAGACGAUUUCCAAUUAUAUAUAUUUUUUUAAAAUAGACAAUUUUCACUAAAUUUCUUUUUUUAGGAAAUCAUCUCUUUAAGAGACGAUUUCUAAUUUGCUUAAUUUUCUUUUUUAAAUCAUCUUUUCAACAAACAAUUUUUGAAUGGUAUAUAUACAUUUUGUAAAGAUGAUUUUCAACUUGAUAAAAAAGAUAAAUAUCAUUCCUUUUUAUUUGAUAAAAAUUAUCGUAGAUUUAAAAUUAUUUUUUUUAUUAUGGUAAUUUAAAAUUUAUUUUUUAAAAAUUCGAUAAUCUUAUAAAAAAUACUAAGUAGAUGAGUGAGCAAAUUCUAGUUUUGGGAUCGAUGGAUCGAUCGAGAGCAGAGUUUUUAUCAGAAUUCUUUAGGUUGAAUACUUGACCAGUUCUGGCGGCUAUUCGAUUGAAAUCAAUAAUCUUGCUGUGCAAGUAAUGAUUUUGUUGCAUGUUAUCAAAUCUUAAUUGUACUCUUUUGAAUAGUACAAAAAGAAUCUUCCAUAUGGGCGGCUUCUGACAGUCAACAAAUAUAGUUUCUAAUGGCUUGCAAAACUUAAGGGUAUGUUUGGGUCACGGAAAAUAAUAAGGAAAGAAAAAAAAUACAAAAAAAAAAUGAUUUUUUCAUAUUUGAUUGUCCUAUGAAAAAUAUCAAAGAAAAUAAAAUAUAAUUAAAACUAAUUAAAAACUUAUAUAUUUUUAAAUUAUUUAAUCUUUAUAUUGAUGAGUUAAAAUAAAUAAAAUGAGUUUGAAGUAACAAAAAGAAAUAAUUUAUCGAUUUUUAAUCUAUUUUUUAUUUUUCUUCAUUUUUUUCUUUCCUUCUACUUUUCUUUUGUAUUUUCUUUCCCUUGCAUUUUCCCUCAAAUUUUCUGGGAACCAAACAUAGCCUAAGGAAAAUUCUAGGGUACCUCAUUCGGUACCGUACCGAAAAGUUUUUAAGCCAUUGGAUGUCCAAGAUUACAUCUUGGCCAUCCAUUUUAAAUUUGAAAAAAAAUAAAAAAAAAAUCCACUUAACCGAUUAAGGGAAGAAGGAAGAACUGGUUGUGGCCUUCCACUCUCUUCUCCUUUAAUUUCAUCUUCCCCCAUUAUCAACAAUUAUGGGUUUAAAUAAAAUAAAUAUGAGAUAAAUAUUGAUACAAAAAUAGAAUUGAAAAAAAAAAUUGAAAUUGAUAUAAAAUUUGAAAACAUAUUUAUUAACAAAAAAAAUUCAUCAUAUAUUAUAGAUACAUUAUUUCAUUUUUAACAAAUUAUUAAUCAUUUUAAAUUCGACAUGAAAAUGAACAUAGUAAUAUUUCAAUAUAAAAUGAGUAUUUAUAUUAAAAUUCAACAUUUUGAUGAUUAUAUGUAAAGAUUAGGUAAUUAGAUUGCCCUAAUAUUUUUCACUCUCCAAAUUUUACAUUUUUGAAUUUAAGGUUUUUAAAUUAAAAUUACAAUAAAAUAAAUUAGUAAUAAUCUUUUGAGUUACUAAUGAUAGUAUUUUCGAAAAUAAAUUUGUAAUUUCAAUUUUUUUAAAAAAAAAAUUGACAUGAAAAAAUUGAUAAAGGUACCAAACAUGUAUUUAUCACAUUUUUUCGUACCAUUCUUAUAUUUUUUGUAUCCUAAAUUAUUUUUAUUUUUUAAAUUUCAGAUUUACUUUUUAACUUGAAAUGACAAUAAAAUAGUUUAAUAAUAUUUUUUUGAGUUAUUAUUGUUGAGAUAUUAGGAAUGCUUUCCUUGUAUCAUUAUUUCCUUAUAUCAUUUAGUGUUGAGAUAUUAGGAAUGUUUACAUAUUAGGAAAGUUAAGAUAUUAUGAAUAUUGAGAUAUUAUGAAUAUUGAGAUAUUAGGAAAGUUGAGAUAUUAGGAUAUUAGUUGUUAUUUCCUUAUAUUAUUCUUUCCUUGUAUCAUCCUUUCCCAUUCUUAGAAUGGUGAUUACCCUCUAUAUAUACUCUGUAUAUGAAUGAAAGAAAGUAUGAAUGAAAAACUACCAUUCAUCAAUUUGAAGAUGGUAUCAGAGUCAGGGAACUGAAAUCCUGGAUAUUUUGUUGUAAGGCCAACAAUCGCCCCUCCUUUGAGAAAGAAGAAAAAAAAAGAGUGAAAAAAGUACUAUUGUUUUUCAAUCUGAAGGUACUUUCAAUCUAGAAAUUAUUUUGACUGAAUCAAACUAUGACGUUUGGUCACAACUCGUGGAGAUGCAUAUUGCCGAACGGGAAAAACUUUCCUACAUCCAAGGUAAGACAAAUCUACCAAAAGAGUCAGAAGAUGGAUAUGAAAAAUGGUAUGCUGAGAAUCAAAAGGUGAAGAGAUGGUUGUUAAUGUCCAUGAGUCCAGAAAUUAUGAAGCGUUACUUACACUUACCCACCACUCAAGAAAUUUGGAGUGCAUUAUCAAAGGCCUUCUAUGAUGGAAGUGAUGAAUUACAAGUUUUCACUUUGAAUCAAAAAGCCUUCACUACCAAACAAAACGGCAGGUCUCUUUCUGAAUAUUAUGGAGAGUUAACUGAACUUUUUUGCGAAUUGGAUCAUCGGGAUAAGGUAGUUAUGAAAGACCCUGAAGACAUUGCAACAUACCGGAAAUCCAUUGAACGACAACGGGUGCACAUCUUUCUUGCUGGAUUGGGUGGUGACUUUGAGCAAGUUCGAGGAGAGAUUCUACGCAAAGAUCCUCUUCCCGAUUUGGAAGAAUGCUAUGCACUGAUUCGACGAGAGGCAAUACGUCACGCUAGUAUGAAAGCAGAAUCUGACAACCCUGACACCUCAGCUAUGGUAGUUCGACAACAAUCAACCCGAAAUUGGCAGGACCAAUCCAAGACCAACCAUCCUAAGACAAACCCUAAUAUUGAUAAGUCAACCUUCAAAUGCACUCACUGCAAUAAGACUAGUCAUACCAAGAGUCGUUGCUUUGAAAUUGUGGGAUAUCUAGACUGGUGGGAUCACAAUCGUGAUCAACGAAAGAAGGAUUCCAAGAAAACCUCGACUGCAGCUAUUGCCAAAAUAAAAACAGAGGCUAAUGUUGAUGAGAAAGCCUUUGCAUUGGUAGCCACUACAGAUCAUGGUGGUAAGUUUUUAAAUACUUCUACACCUGUUAUUAAUAAUGAAUGGAUAAUUGAUUCUGGUGCUACAGAUCAUAUGACUUUAGAUUCUAGACAGGUCUCACCCCUUAAACCUUCCUCACAAAAAUUUGUUUCCACAGCCAAUGGUAACACAACCCCAGUCAUUGGGGAAGGAUCCUUAACUCUUACUGAUACUUUGAAUUUGGAUUCUAUUUUAGUUGCUCCAUCCUUAAAUUACAAUCUUUUGUCAGUUUCUCAAAUCACUGCAGUUUUAUCUGAUAUUGUCAUUUUUUGGCCUGAAUUUUUUGUUUUUAAGGACAUCCAAACAAGACAGACGAUUAGUUUUGGUAUUAAGCGAGGAAAACUCUAUUAUUUGGACUUGUAGUCAAAGGAUUCAAAUAAGUUGCAACAAGCCUUGAUGGCAGAUGGAUCUGAGGGGGAGAAGAAAAAGUCUGAAAUUUGGUUGUGGCAUCGACGUCUGGGAUAUGCUUCCUUUGGUUAUUUAAAAAAAUUAUUUCCUAGUUUGUUUGCAAAGAGUGAUAUUUUUGGUUUCCGUUGUGAUAUUUGUGAAUUGGCUAAAAGCCAUCGUGCUUCCUUUCCAUUAAUUUUGAAUAAAAGUCCGUCUCCUUUUAUGGUUAUACAUUCUGAUGUUUGGGGCCCAUCCAAAGUCCCAACAUUGAGCGGUUCGCGUUGGUUUGUUACUUUUAUUGAUGAUUGUACCAGAAUGACAUGGUUAUGCUUGAUGAAAACCAAAGAUGAAGUGAACUUGUUGUUUCAAAAUUUUCAUAAAAUGAUUGAAACUCAAUACAAUGCAAAGGUUCAGGUUCUGCGUAGUGAUAAUGGUGGAGAAUGUCAAAGUUCUGAUCUUCAAAAGUAUUUGGAAGGACAUGACAUCAUUCAUCAAACUACUUGUUCCAAUACACCCCAGCAAAAUGGAGUCGUUGAACGAAAAAAUCGGCACUUGUUAGAGGUUGUUCGUGCUUCCUUGAUAGCAGCAAAAACACUGAUAUCUUAUUGGGGAGAAGCAAUCACAUCUGCCGUAUACUUGAUCAAUCGGGUAUCUUCUAGCUCAAUUAACUUUCAAACACCUCUCCAAGCUCUUAUUAAUGUCGUAGUUGCCCCAACCGUCCCAAAUCUACCUCCUCAUGUUUUUGGUUGCGUGGCAUUUGUGCAUCUACACAAGCACCAACGCACUAAGUUAACUUCUCAUGCAUUGCAAUGUGUGUUUGUUGGAUAUGCAUUGCACAAAAAGGGAUAUCGAUGUUACCAUCCUCCAACUCGACAAAUGUAUAUUACAAUGGAUGUGGUGUUUCAUGAAGAUUCGAUGUAUUUUUCAUCUGAGUCUGAACUUCAGGGGGAAUACCAUAAGGAAAUUCAGACUCUUGAUUAUGAUUAUCAUAUCUCUAAGGAAGAUGAAUCUGGACAAUCUGAACUAGUGAACCAGGAAGUGGGUGAGUUGGAUAUGAGUGGUUAACAAUUUGGGUCCGAAGAUGUCUUCACUGAAAUACCAAACCAAUCGUCGUCUGUUGAGGGUGUUCUUAAUUAGGAACCCGAUCCAUUCAUGAAACGGUUACCACAUCGUCAUAAUAGAGGUAUUCCUAAACCCACAUAUGAACCUGAUUUGUCUACCAAAGUCAAAUAUCCCAUGAGCAACUAUGUGUCUAACCAUCGUUUGUCUGAAUCAAAUAAGUCAUUUGUAAAUCAAUUAUCUACUGUAGUUAUUCCUAACAGUGUGCAGGAAGCCUUAGUUGAUCCAAGGUGGAAAGCAAGAUUGGUUAGCUGAUAUCCUCACCAAAGUUGUCUCAAGUCAAGUAUUCUCAAAAUUUUUUAGACAAGUUGGGCAUGUGUGACAUCUAUGCACCAACUUGAGGGGGAGUGUUGAGAUAUUAGGAAUGCUUUCCUUAUAUCAUUAUUUCCUUAUAUCAUUUAGUGUUGAUAUAUUAGGAAUGUUUAGAUAUUAGGAAAGUUAAGAUAUUAUGAAUAUUGAGAUAUUAGGAAUAUUGAGAUAGGAAUGUUUAGAUAUUAGGAAAGUUAAGAUAUUAUGAAUAUUGAGAUUUUAGGAAUAUUGAGAUAUUAGGAAAGUUGAGAUAUUAGGAUAUUAGUUGUUAUUUCCUUAUAUUAUUCUUUCCUUGUAUCAUCAUUUCCCAUUCUUAGAAUGGUGAUUACCCUCUAUAUAUACUCUGUAUAUGAACGAAAGAAAGUAUGAAUGAAAAACUACCAUUCAUCAAUUUGAAGAAUUAUUGAUAGAAUUGUUAAAAAAUAAGAAUGAAAAAAAAAUUUAAAUAUGGAAAUGAUGUAAAUUAUCUUUAAAAAAUUAGAAAAUUAAAACAGUAAAAAAAUUGGGAAGAAUACAAAGAAUGCAAGGAAAAGUAUGAAGAAUAUAAGAAAUCCUGACAUUUUUCGUAUCAUUCCUCAUGAUAAUAUUGUUUAUUGAUAGUAAUUAACCUUAGUGAUACUAAUUAAGCUUAGAAAUGAUGAAAAUUGUUUUAAAAAAAAAAUUAAAAUACUAAGUAAUUGUAAAGGGUAUGUGAGCAAAAUUUAAAAACUUUUUGAAUUUUUCAAUUUUUUGCCACUUAGAAAUACAAAUAAUAUUGUAUAUUGAUACUACUCAAGCUUAGAAAUGAUGAAAAUUAUUCUCAAAUUGUAGAAGGUACGAAGAAUUCCCUCACAUUCUUUAUACCUUUCGUCACAUUUUCUUUACUCUAAAAAAUUUUACAAUUUUUUUUUUAAAUUUUUCCACAUGGACGAAAUUUUACAAUUUUUCGAAUUUCCACUUAAAAAUACAAUAAUAUUGUUUAUUGAUACUAAUUAAACUUAGAAAUGAUGGAAAUUAUCCUUAAAAAAAUAAAUAUUAAAAUAUUAAAAUUUGGAGAGUACAAAGAAUGUGAGGAAGGGUACAAAGAAUGUGAGGAAUCUUCAUAUUCCUCAUACACUACUUCUUCACAUUAUUUGUACCUUUAGAAUUUUACGAUUUUUUGGAUUUUUUUUUAAAAAAAUCUACUUGAAAAUACAAUAAUAUUGUUUAUUUAUAUUAAUUAAGUUUAGAAAUUAUGGAAAUUAUUCUAUAAAAAAAUUAAAAUGUUAAAACACUAAGUAAUUAUAAAAUGUACAAAAAAUGUAAGGUUACGAAGAAUAUGAGUAAGGGUAUAAAGAAUGUGAAGAAGGACAUGAAGAAUAUGAGAAAUUCUUAUAUUCUUCGUACCCUUCCUUGCAUUCUUCGUACCUUGAAAAUUUGACAAAUUUUCAUAUUUUUUUAAUUUUGUUUUUACUUUGAAAUAUAAUAAUAUUGUUUAUUGAUACUAAUUAAGCUUAGAAAUGAUGGAAAUUAUACUUAAAAAAAUAAAAAAUUAAAAUGUUAAAAAAUUGGAGAGAGUAUAAAGAAUGUGAGGAAGGGUACGAAAAAUGGAAAUUCCUCACAUUCUUCAUACCCUUUAAAUUUUACAAUUUUUUUGAAUUUUUCAAAUUGUUUUUCAACUUGAUGGAAUUUUUCAUUAUUUUGUAGUAAAAGCAGUAAAAAUUAUUUUUUAUUGUCAAAUUGAAAUUUUAUAAUAAAUUCUUUUGAUAGAAUAAGUGCAAAUAAUUUUCUUGAAAAUAAAAAUUGAAUACAAAUAAAAUUGAAUAACUCAUUUGUUGGAAAUAAAUUGACUCUUUUGUAAAUAAAUAAAUUGAAAUCAUUAAUUUGAAAUUGUUUUUAAUAAACUCUUUUGAAAUUUCUUGAAAAAAUAAUUUUUGAAAUAUUUUUUAAUCAGAUCAAUAAAUUAAUUACAUAAUUCUCAUAUCAUUUAUCUUGUAUAUUCUUAUAAUUUGAUUUUAUCAUCAUUUUUGUAUAUAUUGAUUUGUGUCUUUAAUCUUGGUACCAUUGAUUAAUUAAUUAAUUGUUACAGUUCCCUCAAUUCAUUUAGUAAAGAUUGUAGAUAUACAAACUUUAAGGGAUACGACGGUUCAUCGUUGUAUUUUCCUGAUAAGUAAUCUGACCUCGAUAAGUAAAUUCAAAAUCGGUUUUUGUAAAUGUCUUUUCCAAAUAGAGUCACACAUGGUUUUUUUUUUUUUCUUAUUUUGUUUUCCCUUGAAAAAAAAAGACCAAAAUAAAUUACUACUCUAAGUCUUUUCUAAAAUUCAAAUUUUUACCAAUAAAAAGCAAGUCUCGUCGUUUGAGUGAGAACACACAUAAAAAAUGUGAAUCCAUAAUAUGAAUAUUGAAAUUUUAUAAUUUUAAGAAUCUUUUUCACUUAGAAAUUCAAUAAUAUUGUUUAUUAUACUAAUUAAGCUUUGAAAUGAUGAAGAUUAUCCUUAAAAAAAAAAAAAACAUUAAAAUAUUAAAAAAAUCUUUUUCCAAUUUUAAGAUUUUUUUUUCUUAAAAAUAUAACAAUAUUGGUUAUCCAUACUAAUUACCCAAAUGAUGAAAAAUAUCCUUCAAAAAUUUUUAAAAAUUGAUACACUAAAAAAUUGGAGGAGGCUCAAAUUAUGCUUAGAAUUAAUUGAAAUCAUGCAAUUUCUUUUUUAGCUUCAAUUAUCCAUUGUAUUGUUUUUCCUAGUUUCAAUAUUUCAUCCAAUCUUGUCCCAAAAAAAAAAAAAAAAAAAUCAAAUUUACAAUAAAAAUUUAAUAAUAUAAUUUUCAAUUACUAAUUAACAAUAAAUACUUAUUUUAAUUUAUUUUAAAAAAUUAUGACUCCAAAUAGUUAUGAUAUUCUUUAAAAAGGCUAAUUACACUCACAUUUUUCCUACCUUCUAAUUUUUAAAAUUUUAAAAUUUUGUUUGUUACUUCUAAGAGUCAUCCUUAGAAAUGAUGGAAGUUAGGCACAAAAAAAAUUGAAAUUAAAAACAUAGAAAAAUUUCCUAGCAUUUUUGUACUAUUCCCGCAUUUUGGUACUCUCCAAAAUUCUCAAAUUUUUUAUUUAAAGAUUUUUUUUCCACUUCCAAAAAAUGCUUUCAAUAUUUAAUCCAAUCUUCUCCACACACACACACACACAAAAUAAUAAUAAAAAUAAUAUUACAAUUUCUAAUUUAUAAUUGUAUUAUUACUUGUAAUUUAUUUAUUUUUUUUAUGGAGAAGAUUGGAUUAAAUAUUGAAGGCAUUUUUUGGAAGUGGAAAAAAAUUCUUAAAAUAAAAAAAUUGAGAAUUUUGGAGAGUAACAAAAAUGUGAGAAUGGUACAAAAAUGUGAGGAAAUUUUUCUGUAUUUUUAAUAUAGAACUGUUUUGUGCCUAGCUUCCAUCAUUUCUAAAAAUGAUUAGUAUGCCUAAGCAAUAUUGAUGCGAUUAGAAGUGGCAAAAAUUAAUUAAUUAAUUAAAAAAUUAGAAAAAAUAGAGGAUACAAAAAUGUGAGUGUGAUUAGUCUUUUUAAAUAAUAUUAUAACUAUUUGGAAUUGAUUUUUUUUAAAUAAAUUAAAAUAAAUCUUGAAAUAAGUAUUUAUUGUUAAUUACUAAUUGAAAAUUGUAUUAUUCAUUUUUUAUUGUAAAUUUGAUUUGAUUUUAUUAUUUUUUUUGGGGGGGGGGGGGGGGGGGGGGGGGGNNNNNNNNNNNNNNNNNNNNNNNNNNNNNNNNNNNNNNNNNNNNNNNNNNNNNNNNNNNNNNNNNNNNNNNNNNNNNNNNNNNNNNNNNNNNNNNNNNNNGGGGGGGGGGGGGGGGGGGGGGGGAAAGAUUAGAUGAAAUAUUGAAAGUAUGAAAACAAUGCAAUGGUUAAUUGAAGUGGAAAAAGAAAUUGCUUGAUUUCAAUUAAUUCUAAGUGUAAAUUGAGACCUUUCCAAAUUUUCAGUGUAUCAAUUUUUUAAUUUUUUUGGAGAAUAUUUUUCAUCAUUUCUAAGCUUAAUUAGUAUAAAUAAAUAUUAUUACAUUUUCAAGCAAAAAAAGUCUUAAAAUUGGAAAAAGAUUUUUUAAUGUUUUAAUUUUUAAAUUUUUUAAGGAUAAUUUUCAUCAUUUGUAAGCUUAAUUUCAAAGUGAAAAAGAUUCUUAAAAUUAUAAAUUUCAAUCCUCAUAUUCUUCGUAUAUUCUAGAAUUACUUAGUGUUUAAAGUUUUUAAUUUUUUAAGGAUAAUUUUCAUCAUUUUUAAGCUUAAUUAACAUGGAUAAACAAUAUUAUUGCAUUUCUAAAUGAAAAAAAAAAUUAAAAUUGGAAAAAAAAAAUGUAAAAAUUCAAGGGUAUGAAGAAUGUGGAAGAUGGUAAAAAUAAUGUGAGGAGGGUACAACUUUUAUAAUUUUUUAAAUUUUAAGAAUUUUUUUUCCACUUGGAAAUACAAUAAUAUUGUUUAUUGAUAUUAAUUAUGCCUAGAAAUGAUAGAAAUUAUUCUAAGAAAAAUUAAAAAUUAAAACACGAAAAAAUUUGAGAAGGUUCUCACAUUCUCUAUACCCUUCCUCAUAUUCUUCAUGCCCUUUCCAAUUUUGUUUUAAUUUUUUUUUAGGAUAAGUUACAUCAUUUUUAAGCUUAAUUAACAUCGAUAAACAAUAUUAUUGUAUUUCUAAGUGGAACAAAAAUUCAAAAAGAUUCAAAAAAUUGUAAAAUUCCCAGGGUACGAAGAAUGUGAGGAAGGGUAUGAAGAAUGUGAGGAUUUCUCACAUUUCUAUACCAUUUCAAAUUUUUUAGUGUUUUAAUUUUUAAAUUUUAAUUUUUUUAAAAAAAUAAUUUUCAUCAUUUCUAAGCUUAAUUAGUAUUGAUAAACAAUAUUAUUGUAUUUUUAAGUAAAAAAAAAAUUCGAAAAAUUUGAAAAAUUGUAAAAUUUCGAGGGUACAAUCCUUAUAUUCUUCAUACCAUCUCCAAUUUUUUAAUGUUUUAAUUUUCAAUUUUUUUAAGGAUAAUUUACAUCAUUUCUAAACUUAAUUAAUAUCAUUAAACAAUAUCAUUGUAUUUCUAAGUGGACAAAAAUUAGAAAAAAUGUAAAAUUUCGAUAGUAUAAGAAAUGUGAGGAAGGGUACGAAGAAUGCAAAGAUUUUUCAUAUUCUUCGUACCAUUUGUCACAUUCUUUGUACCAUCUCAAAAUUUUUAGUAUUUAAAAUUUUAAAAUUUUUAAAGAUAAUUUCCAUAAUUUUUAAACUUAAUUAGUAUUAAUAAAUAAUAUUAUUGUAUUUCUAAGUGGAAAAAAUUUCAAAAAAUUGUAAAAUUUCGAGGGUAUAAACAAUGUGAGGAUUAAUUAGUAAAUCAUUUUCUAUACAUUUAUUAACGUUGAAUAUUUCUUGAUUGACUUCUUCCUAUGCCCAAGGUUGUUUGUCUUAAUUUGAUGGUCAAUCUUUGCCAUCAAAUUAAAAACACAUUUCAGUAGAAUUGUCUAAUAUCACUUUAAGUGGAAAAAAAGAACAAAAAUGAAUUCAUGAAUGAUUUAUCUUUUCUAAUAAUAUGUUUCGAGGUUGUUUAGAUAAUUGAGAUCUUAUUUUAGGUUAUAUUUGAGUUAAGAACAUAGUAUUAUACCUAUUUUAUUACACUAUAGAGUUCAAAUUGAAGUAAGUGUUGCGAUUUGAUUGAGCGUUUUUAUAAUUUAUAGAUUUCACAAGAUGGGUAAGGAAAAAAAUAAUCAAAUCAUGAAAAAUGUGACUAAGAUAUAAAAAAGUUAUUGAAGUAUAAAUAAUAGAAAUAAAAAAUCAAUCAUGAUUUUAGAAGGAGUUGCUUAGGUAAUUGAAAUAAUUGAGAUAUUAUCAUAAGUUUGAUUCCAUUAAUUUUAGCAUUUUAUGCUACAUAUUUUUGUGUACAUGAUUUCACAUCAUAUACUAGAGUAUGGUAUCAUAUGGUUAUAUGGGCCCUGGUCCGUCCAUGGGCCUAGGUGGCAAGGCCCAGCAAGUUGUCACCUUUUCCUGCUAUGUCACAAGGAACAAGCUCAUCUACAUUCCAUGGCAUGUCCUCCAAAAGUAAAGAACAAGAAAAAUAGUGCCCAAAAUCAAUUUCUAACCAUUUGAAAAAUCUUAAGGUGUGGGUACGAUCUUUUAUACAUUCUAAUUAGAAUUUUCAAGUUAGUCUUAAAGGUAGGAUGAGAACCGUAUAUACUUGAAUCAACGACCAAUUAAGAGUUAAUUAGAUUUGAUUUCAAUUAUGUUAAUGUAAGUUCGAUGUUUGAUUAAGGAUGCUAACCAUAUGUUUUUUAAUCUAGGGUGUAGGCCAACCACAACUAGGCUUCAUUUUGAUUUUUUGUCAUGUUGAGUUUGGUCUUGGUCUCGAGAAAAAUACGAAGGGUAUUUGUUUCUUCACUUAGAAGACUACACUUCAAAUCAAUGAGAAAUACUUAUAGUUUGUUGAAGUAAUUGUACUUUUAUUUUCUUCUUUUUCUCGAAAAAUGGAAAUGUGAUCCUCUAUUUACAUAAAAUUUCAACUUAAAGCUUAUUGAAGAUCAUUGCAUGCUUAUUUUCUUUUCUUUCUUAUAACCAGGUGGAUUUGGGACAGGAUGUACCCAUUUCAACCUUAUCCCGUUUAUUGAAAAUAAUUUUCAUCCUCAUCCUAUUAAAAAAAUUAAAUAAGACUUGAUGAGGUGGGAUGGGAAUGCAAAUUUUUCAUACCCAUCCCACCCUAUCCUAUUUAACUUUGUUUUGAAAUUUUUUAAAAUUUUUUUAAUUUUUUUAAUUACAUUAAAAUAAAUAUAUUUUAUAAACAAUUAAAAUAUUAUAAUUAACUUAUUUUAUUAAAAAAUAUUUAUUAUUAUUACUAUUAUGAUUAUUAUUAUUAUAUUAAAAAUAUAUUUAAAAAAAUUAAUUUUAUAUAUAAUUAGGGUGGAGCGGAGCAAGACAAGACAAUGCUCGAACCCACCCUGAACAUGUCAUCUCUAAGAUAGAUCCUCUAUUUAUAGAAAAUUUUAACUUAAAAAGCUUGUUGAAGCUUAUUUUAUACUUAUUUUCUUCUCUUUCUCAUAAAAAGAUCCUCUAUUGUUUAGAAAAAAAAUUCAAUAAAUAGAUUAUUCACUCUCACACUUGGUGUAUGUUUGGCUAAAAAAAAAUACUACGAAAAAUGUUAUUCCUAAGGUGGUUUGGUUACUGUAAAUAAUGGGUGAGGAAAAAAAUACCGAAAAUAUGGAGCUAAAUAUUUUAAUGUGUAAUUUAGUUUUCUCUUCAUAAAAAAAAUAAUAAUAAUAAAGAGAAAAAUUAGAAGAAAUAAAAAUAAAAAAUAGAUUUAUUAAAGACUUGAAUAAUAACAUGAAGAUUCACAAGAAUAUUACAAAUGCUUUGGUUAGGUUGACAAGUCCGGAUGGAAAGCCCCUCAAUGUACUCCCAACUCAGAUCCUUCAAAUCCUCUCUUGUAUUACUUGUCUAACGAAGAACUUCAAAACGUUAAAAAGUGCUUAAAUGCUAUGUAAUGAGGUAAUGGAUUGACGAAACCAUGUGGAAAACACCAUCAGCCACUGUGAGAGAUACCCAUCGUGAUUCCUCUCCCCUUCAAAGUAUAGGUGUGUUUGUUUCCCAAGAAAAUGAUGUUAAACAUAUAAUUAAUACAUUCCACGACCCUUCUGUCUGAAAAUUUAUUUAAUCUAAACUGAUGUUUGGUUCCCGUGAAAUCCAAUUUAUUAAUGUUUUCGGUCAACACAUCACAUGGUUGAUUUUGAAGCGGUGGAGUAAAUGAAAUUCUUGACAUCAUUAUACAAAGCUUCAGCCUGUGAGGGAUCAAAGAUCUCCACGCCAUGGUGACCGCCAUCAUUGAAUUUAGCCACCACGUGCACCCCACGCGCCUCCAUCAUCUCCGCAAACCUCCUCUGUCUGUCAACCAGUGGAUCCCCACCGUACCCUCUCACCAGACACUUCUGCAGCCGUCCGAUCUUCUCCUGGUGGGACUGGGACCCUCCCGCCAUUGGAUUACUAUACUCAUGAUCACGAUCAGCGCCGUUGGGCAAUGCAAGUGCCCAUAGCAGAUCGUUCGCCGGCAACGGCACGAUCCGAUCGUCCGCCAGUCUCAGUUCCGAUUCGGUCCUCUCCACCCCACCGAAGUAGGGCUGAUUCAGUACCAGCCCUUGGAUCUUCAUCGCCCCAAGAUCAGCAUCAAGUGCACGCACACCUGCGUGGAACACGAUGUUUGCUCCUGCACUGCCCCCCAUCAAAAAGCACUUGGAAAAAUCAGCGUACUCUCUCAGCCACGGCUCACCACCGUCGAUCUCCGCAGCCGCCUGGCUCCGGACCCACAUGAUGGCUUCGAAGGCGUCCUCGUAGGCAGCCGGGAGACGGUGCUCCGGCGCGAGACGGUACUCGAGGGACAGGACCAGAGCUGGAAGCUUAGCUGCCAUGGAGUUGCAAGAUUUGUGGAAAGGCAGAUUAGAGACGCUGAAGAGAACGAACCCACCUCCAUGAAAGUACAAGAUGACGGGAAGCUUGGUGUUUGGAGGAAGAAGACUAGGCCGGUAGAUGCGGAGAAAGGUGUUGUUGGCGGGGUUGAGGGGCACGUCUUUGGAAAAAGCCACAGCGGUGUCGGUGGCGGCGGUGGUUUCAUCAGUAGCGGGUACAGAGGGAAAUGGGCUACUGCGAGUGAGAGAGCCAUCUGGGUUAGGGACGAGGCCGAGGGACUUAUAAGCGUCCAUGGAAGAUGGUGGUGGCACAGAGUCUGCCAUGGCUGUUUGAGUGGUAAGAGAUAUGCUGUGAAGAAGAUGUAUAAAGAAGGCGUCUGGUUGGGUAGCUGUAUAGGAUAUUAAUGGAGCUAUGGUUGGUGUAUAAUUAAUAUGAGGACAGGAGUUAAGCAAAUUCUAGUUCUAGUCUUCUAGAUGUCACAGUGCCCAUUAUCAUACGUUUUGGUUGUUGGGAAAAUGAUUUAGAAAAUGAUUUAUUUGGAUCAAUAGAUGGAGUAAUAGCAGAGUUUUUAUCAAGUGGCAAGACUUCUUUAGGUUGAAUCCUUCACGAGUUCUGGUGGCUAUUCAAUUCAAAUCAAUAAUCUUCCAGUGCAAUUAAUGACUCUUGUUGCAUAUUAUCAAAUCUUUUGAAUACCUACUCUUCCAUGGGCGGCUCUGACAGUCAACAAAUAUAUUAAUAUAUUUUCUAGAUGGCUUGCAACUUAAUUAUAAUUACAUAUUUUAGAAGUUAUUAGUUACUUCAACAUUUGAAGUGUUGACAUUCAACAUUAUAUUUUUUUCUUCCUCACAUUAUGGGACAUCUUAUAUGCUAACGCUAUAAAUUCUUUUCAACUAUCUAGAAGUGUUUUACAGUCAUGAGAACCUUACUAAGCUCGGAAUGGACAAUAUCUACAUGAUUAAGUUUAAGUUAUUAUAAAUAGUACCAAAACUGAUUAUCAACCUUGGUGUGAAAAUUAAUUUAACCCCGUGAAGGAUAUCUAUUUAUUUGGUUUUACAAUUCCAUGAUAUACAAUGAAAAUUAAUAACGUGUUUACGUGAAAGGAUGAUUAUGACAUCUCAUAUCAGAUAUUGAAAAAAGUUCUUUAACACCAUAUAAGUUUGAACUCAUAUUCACUGCACAAACGUUUGUUAAAAUCACGAGAACUUUAUUAGAUUUAGAAUAGAUAAUAUCCACACAAUUGAGUGCAAGUUAUUACACCGUUUAAUAAAUAUUCAUAUAAGCAUUAAACAUUAAUGAUUCUAUAUUGCGCGGAGGAUGCGGUCUAUGUGUUCUCCAUCCACCAUAUUUAUUGCAGACGAGAUUUUACAAGAAAAAAAGACGAGUGGAGAGAGGGAUGGAACCUUUUUGGGGGUCUUCAUUUAUAGAAAUCCUACUCAAUAAUAGUAGAAUUGUUGGAAAUAGCUUUAUCAUAACUAUGAUAGAAUGUCUCCAUGUCAUGAAUCAGUAAAAAUAAACAUUUUUUUAAUAAAAAAUUAUUAAGAUACCGCUAUGGGUGGAAGUUUGGUGUGAUCAUCAAAUUUUAAAUAGGGAGAAUUUCCGUAAUAAUUAACUAAUUUCCAAUAUGAAGAAUUUUUAGUAGAUAAUUUUACCCUCAAAUAUGUUUUUUAUAUUAUCUAUAAACAAUUUUGAAAUCGUCAAUAAUAUGGGACUCACAAAUGAUAAUAGUUACCCUUAAUUAAUAGUACAUAUCUUGUCCCAAAAAAUUGUUUUUCACCUUUAAACAAUCAACAUAUUGUAUAAUAAAGUUUUACUUAUAAAAGUUAAUGAUAAAAAUAAUUUUAUUAUUUACUUGAAUGACUUGAAAUGAGAAGUCCAAUUGAAAGUUAGAUUAUUUAUAAAAAAUAAUUUAAUGAACUGUGCAUUAUCAAUCUAGUUUAUUAUUUUGUAUUAAUUAUAAAUUAUUUAUAUUUUCACAUCAAUAUGAUAUAUUUAAUGAAUUUGUCAUUUUUUUUACUCUUAUAGCAACGUGGGGUUGAAUGAAAAAAAGAAUACAUAUGUAUAUAUAAAAUAAUUUUCAAUAUCUUAUAAAUCAAAACUAUGAGGUUAUUAUGUGGUUUUAUAUAUGUAACAUACAAUUAAAAACUUUAUUAACCUAAUGGAAUGAAUAGUUAUUUUUCAUGAGCACUCAUCAAUUGAAUAAUAUACAAAUAUUCAAUUGAAUAAUACAACUAUUUAAUGGAAUAACAUGCAACUAUUCAUUGGAUAAUAUAGCACAUGAAAAAAUUAAACAAAAAUAAAUUAAAUUAUGUUGUAAUAUAUUGUAACGUUAGUGUAUUUGUAUUGUAAGUAUAAUAUAUUUAUGUUGUACUUAUAUUUCAUUAUAAAAUUAAUAAUUCUAAAAAUGCUUAUCGGGUCUUGUGAAUUCAAAUUAGUAUUUCAUUUGUUUUUAAAAAUGAUUCAUAAUAUAAGUAUGUUAUGAAAUGCAGUAUGAUGGUAUAAAACUAUCACUUUCAUAAAAAAAGUUCAAAAUUUUCCCAAUUAGGUUUUAUUGUAAUAUAUUGUAAUAUAAGUCUAUUUAUAUUGUAAUUAUAACAUAUUUUUGUCGUACCUGUAUUUUAUAAUAAAAGUAAUAAUCUUAGAGAUCACUUUUUAUGCAUCAUUAAUAUUAAACAUAUUAUAUAUAUUAACAUCAUCCACUCAAUGUAUUGGGAAAAAAAAUUAUAUAUGAAAAUUAAAAUAAAUAAAUAAAUAAAACACUAUGCGAAGGAAAAAAAUAUAGAAAAAUCAUAUAAAUUUUUUAAAAUUAUUUUAUUAUAAAAAAAAAUGAUUAAACAUUCUUCAUCAUUUUCUUAUUCUUUUUAGAUAAUUCGAAUGAAAAAUUAAAUAGUUUAUCUUCCUCGAAUUUAAUACAAAACAUAAUUUAUCAAUUUAAAAUUAAAAAAUAUAUACAUGAAAAAAUCAUCAUUUUUUUUAUAUAAUUAUGAAACUUGUUUUUUGCUUCAUAAAAUUUAAAAUUAGAAUUAAAAAAAUGAAAAAAAAACACAUUAAAUGUUAUUUUAAAAAUAUUUUUAGAAGUAUUUUUUGUUUAAAUAUUAAAUCUAAAUAACAAACCAUUCUAUCAUUAUAUAUAAUAAUUCUAAGGGAUAAACCCAAAAUUUUGAUUUAAAUUUGAAUGUCAAUAACUACAAUAAUGUGGAGCCUACACACCAUAAAUGUUUUGACAAAGUAAGUGAAGCGCUUUGAAUGCUUUUAAAAUGAGUCUACUAACACUGUGCAUUGAUGCGUGAUGAAGACCCAUAUUGACUAUUAUGAGGUCUUCUCUUGUAGUUGGUACAUUCAUAGGUUUUCCUUUGAGUCAUUCUUCCAUGAAUGGCUGAAAACAAAAAAAGGUUCAUCAAAAUUCAAGAUCUACUAAAUCAAAUAAUUCAAGAAGACUCUUCAAAUUAACGAAUUUUUGUCUCCCCAAAUACCCAACUAACCAAUUAAUUAUUUAUAAUGUACUAUCCUCCCUAAGAAUUAUCAAAAGAGAUCGCCCUUCCCAGUAAUUAUCACAUUUAACUCGCCCUAUCCAAUGAUUCUCCUUCUUAAUUAUAAUUUGAGGUAGCUAGGCUUAUUAGAAUAGAGGGCUAUAUGUUGGAACCCACACAAUUGGGUAUUGAUAAUAUUUUUGUUAAAAUAAUAAAAUUAUUGCAUUAUUUAAUUUAACAUAAUAAUAAGCUUAUUUAUAAUAAAUUAAUCAUACUUGUAAUAGGACUCCAAUUCCUAUUAGACUAAAAGUUCUAGUUAACAUAGGAAACCCAAAUAAAUAAAAAUUCCUAAUAUUAAUCAAAUUCCUAAACUUUUUCUAAUUUGACUUGAAUCAUAAUUUCAAUAGUCUACCUUGAUCCAAAUUGUAAAGUCAAUCACACCAAACAUUAUUUUCAACUUUUCAAAUGCAUCUGUCUUUAGUGGCUUGGUAAAAAUAUCUACAACUUGAUCUUCUGAUCUACAAAACUCAAGUUCAAUCUCUUGAUUUUUCACAAGUUCCCUAAUAUAAUGAAAUUUGAUGCUUAUGUGUUUGCUUCUACCAUGAAACAUCGGAUUUUUUUGUCAAUGCAAUAGUAGACUUAUUAUCACACAAAAUCUUUGUAGGACCUUUCUAUUCAUACUUCAAUUCAGUAAGCAUCCUAUGAAGCCAAACUGUUUGACAUGUUGCGGAAGUAACUAUCAUAUAUUCAACUUUUGUAGUUGAUAAUGCUACAACUUAUUGCUUCUUUGAUGACCAUGAGAAUGCUCUUGUUCCAAGAUAAAAAAAAACAUAUUCAGCAAUACUCUUUCUAGUCUCUAUAUCACCUCCUCAAUCAUUAUCUGUGUAGCCCAAUAAACUGAAAUUGUUUGAGUAGGAGUAAAAGAUUUCAUGAUCACGAGUACCAUUUACACACCUCAAAAUUUGUUUUGCUGCUUGCAAAUGUGACUAAUAUGGUUUUUCCAUAAAUCGACUAAUAAUUCCCACUUCAUAAACAAUAUCUAGUCUAGUAGAAGUUAAAUAACGAAGACUUCCUAUUAUGUCCUUGAAAUAUAUGAGAUUUACUAAUUCUCUAGUGCUUUCAUUUUUCAUUUAUAGUCGCUCUACAAUAAGAGUAUGGAUUGUUAAUGAUGAUUCCAUCUUGAAUUGCUUUAGAAUGUCUAAAGCAUAAUUCUUUUGUGAAAUAAAGAUACCAUCAUUUGCUUUUUGGACUUCAAUUCCAAGAAAAUAGGACAUUAAUCCCAAAUUUGUCAUUUCAAAUUGUUGUUUCAUUACCUCCUUAAAAUCUUCAAACAUUUGUUGACAAUUUCCUGCAAAGAUUGAAUCAUCCACAUAGAGGCAUAUAAUAAUUUCAUCACCAUUAGAAUUUGACUUAAUGUAAAGUGUGUGCUCAAAAUGACUCUUUUGAAAUCCAUGUUGUAAUAGAUAAGUAUCAAUUCGUGUGUGCCAAGCACGUGGUGCCUGUUUUAACCCAUAUAAUGCUUUGUUGAGUUUGUAAACUUGUUUCCUUGCCCUUUCUUAAUAUUCCCUGGUGGUUAUUUAAUAAAAACCUAUUUUUCAAGUAUACCAUUAAGAAAAGCUGACUUUACAUCCAUUUAGUGAAUUUUCCACCUUUUCUAAACUACAAGUGCAAUUAUCAUGUGAACAGUAUCUAAUAUAGUAAUUGGUGCAAAAUUUUCAAAAAAAUCAAUACUUGCCUUCUGUUUAUAGCCUUUUGCAACCAAUCUUGCCUUAAAUCGAUCAAUAUUACCAUUAAGUUUAUAUUUUGUCUUGUAAAUCCAUUUAACACCUAUAAGCUUCUUUUUAAUUGGAAGAAAAGUUAGCUCCCAUGUAUUGUUCUUCUUUAUGGAUUGAAUUCUUCAUUCAUUGCUUGAAUCCACUUCUCACCACUUGUUUCUUCUUCAUGUGAAAUAGGAUCACAGUUUGCAAAUAAACAAAAGUUAACUAGACCUUCAUUAGUAAUUUUAGUAUAUUUCAUAACUUCAUAAUCCUUUAGACGUGUAGGCAUAAUAUGAGAACAUUUUGGGCGACCUUGUGAUUUAGACUCCUGCCAUGUUACUGUUUGCAUAAGAGAACUUCUAAUAGGAGAAGAAGUAUUUGAAGUAUAAAUAUAUGUUAUAGAAUCAUUUUGAUUCUCAAAGUCUUCUUCAAUGACAACUCAUUUUUCCUCACUUUGUAUUUGAGUCCAUGUCCAAUUCUCAUUCUCCAAGAAUUGAACAUCUCUACUCACAAUUAACUUUCCUGUUUUUAGAUUAUACAGCUUGUGAACUUUAGUUACAUCACUAUAACCAAUGAAAAUACACUUCUCACUUUUAUCAUCAAACUUUUUUCUAUGCUCAUUUGGUAUAUGGGAAUAUGCAACACACCCAAAAAUUCACAAAAAAGAAACUUGUGGCUUAUGACCACUCCAAGCUUUCUCAAGUGUUCUUCCAAAUACUGCUUUAGUAGAACACCUAUUCAAUAAGAACACUGCACAUGUGACAACUUUUAUUGAAAAAGUUUUUGGAAAAGACUUGGCCUUCAACAUGCUUCUUACCGUAUCAACAAUGGCUCUGUUAUUCCUUUUAGCUAUGCCAUUUUGCUAAGGUGUAUAACUAGUUGUCAAUUGUCGUUGAAUACCCUAACUUUUGCAAUAAUUAUAAAAUUCAUUGGAAGUGAACUCCCCUCCUCUAUCAGAUCUUAAUAUCUUAAUAUUACAACCACUCUGUCUUUCAACAAGAACUUUAAAUUCUUUAAAUUCGUUAAAAGCCUAUUUUUCUUUUAACACAUAAAACCAAGUCUUUCUUAUAAAAUCAUCUAUAAAGGUUAAAAUAUAUUUGUUAUGAUCAAGAGAUCUUACCUCACCAAGAUCACAUAUAUCUGUAUGCACCAACUCCAAAGGUUUCUUAACUCUUUUGGAUCUUCCAACUGAAAAAGAAUUCCUAUGUUGUUUCCCAAGGAGACAUCCUUCACAUGCACAAUCUAGAAUAUCAAUCAUAGGUAAUCCUAUUGCCAUAUUCUUCUGCACUAACAACUUCAACCCAUGAAAAUUGAGAUGACCAAACCAAAGAUGCCAAAGCCAAUUGUUGUCUUCUAUUGUUGCCUUCAAACUAAAUAAAGUUUAUGUUUAACGAAACAUAGGAAAAUCUUGUUCUAUGUCAUCUAUACUUUUGCAAUCAUCUUCUUAUUUUUAUCACUAAGGGUGCAAACUCUAUUAAAGAUAUUAAUGAUAUGCCAUUUUCUGUUAAUUGUCCCAUACUCAAUAAAUUCCAAAAAAGAUUUGAAGCAAAAAAUACAUUUGCUAUAGUAACAUCAGUACCAUCUUUAGAACGUAUUUUAACAUUACCUUUGCCAAUGAUCGAAACUUUAGAUUUGUUUCCAAAAUUAACAUCGCCUCAAAUUGAUUCAUCUAAUUGUGAAAACAAUUCUUUCUUACCGCACAUGUGACUACUGCAUCUUGUAUCAAGAUACCAAACAUCUUAUCUGUUAGCCCAAGGGUUCUCCUAAUCGGGUUUUGAUGAUAAGAAACCAUGGUUAAGUAACUAAUUGGUUUAAUGAUUAAGAAUCUCAAGCAUAAACUCGAAAAUUCAUCAAAUGAUCAAAUGAAUACAAGAUCGAGACGCUUGGAAGACUUGUGAUCAUAGGAAACUAAUGUAAGAUGAAUGCAUGAGUGCACUUAGGAUUUUCACACGUUUCAUGCAACUUAGAAAACUCGGUUUAUUCUUUAAAACUUCAAUUUCAUUAAAACCUGAGUUUUUAACUAAUGUACUUUAGGCAAAAUGUUUUAUAAUUGACUUAAUAAUUCACCUAAAGACCUUGCCUAAGUGUUAGAAAAGAAAAGAAUUAAAAAAAUAGGUUUUCGGGGCCAAAAAGGCUCAACCGGUCGAGGCUAAGGCCAACCGGCUCAACCGGUUGAGGAACCGGUCGACCGAUUUUCCUCGUCUGGUCGAGGGAUGCCAAAAAAUUUCUCUCUCUCCCAGUUGCCUUCUCUUUUCGGUCGAGGUGAUUCUCUUCCCAAUUGAGAUCCGAUCAAGGACCGGUCGAGGUCUGGUCGAGGCAACGGUAACCUGUCAUGCAUUAAAUGCUCCAACGGCUAGUGAACCAAUCGACCCCUAGCUCGAUCGAACGAGGUUACUUUUUGCUGUUUUUGACUUCCAAGCUUAGAAACCUAUAAAUUGAGAGCUCCACUUCAUUUAUUGACAAGAGAACACUUGCAUUCAAUAGUCUACCUACCUGUUCUUGAUCAAAAAGCUCUCAUUUCUUUCAUAGUGCAUUAAAUCACCACUUGUAUAUCCUUUAGUGCACUUUUGUGUGUCAUCCUAGCUUUGUCUUGUAUUUGAACUAUCCUUAAGCUAGGUUGAGGGAUUAUUUCUUGUAAAAAUCUGAGUGUUAAAGUCUUCAAGAGGUUUGAAUCUUGAAGAGAUUGUGUAAGAGCCCAUUGGAGCCGGAAUCCAAGUGUAAGAAGAUUGGAAACUUGGUUGAAGCUUCAAUUUAGUGGAACCCUCACUCGGUUAGAAGAUUGAGGAGAGUGGACGUAGGCAAGGAAGUGUCAAACCACUAUAAAUCCGAGUUUGAAUUCUCUAACUCUAUAUCUUUAUUUUGUUUAUAUUGUGUUUGAAUUUGUUGUAAUUGAAAAUAUUUUAAAAACCCAAUUCAUCCCCCCCUCCCCCCCCUUUGGGUGUUUUUCUUAAUUAAGCAUAACCUUUGUUUUCUCAUUAUCGAUCUACAUUUGAUGUUGCCACAUUGCAAGCCAAUACCAAAUUCUGUUCUACCUCAAUAGUGUUUGCUUGCACAUCUUGUUCAUUUUGCAAUUUUGUUCGACAUUCUGACUUAUAAUGUCCAUACUUUUUGCAUCUAAAACAUUAUAUGUGUGACUUAUCUUUAGGUUUAGAAGUGUUGCCCCUUCCUUUAAAAGAAUUUGUGUCACCAUCUCCAUCUUUAUUGUUGAAGUUGUUAUGUCCUCCUUUACCGCUACCACAACCACAGCCUCUACCAUCUUGUUGGCCACCAUGACCUCCAGUAGAUGAUCUACUCUGCAAGGCUUGCUCUGAAUUUGUAAAGUUGAUUUUCUGAUUUAUUCGUUGUUCAUGCAAACGCAAUGAAUUCACCAACCCUUCAACUGUGAGAGUGAAAAUAUCAUUUCCGUCUUCAAUUGCUGCAACAACAUAGCUAAAUCUUGCACUUAAAGAGUGCAUAAUUUUCUCUACUAUCCGUUGAUCAUCAAGCUUCUCACCAUUAACUCGAAUUUGGUUAAUAAUAGUUUGUACCCGAACAAAAUAAUCUGACUCGAAUUCAUUUCUUAAUGUUAGCAACUUCAUUCGUUUGACACGUUCAUCACCUUCGUAUACUUUUUGUAGAGUAACCCAUGCCUCUUUUGCUACUUUCGCCUCUAGGAUUUUCUCAAAUAUGGAUUCAUCCACUGUUUGGAAGAUUGCAUAAAGUGUUUUUUGAUAUUUCUUUCAUCUUUCAAUGAAUCUUUAUACUCCUUUGAUAGUACCUCGAACUCUUUUGAAUCAGUUACUUUAUUGUAACCAAUAUUCACUAGAUCCUAUAAAUCUUGAGAUCUAAAUAAGACACGCAUUUGAAUACACCAAUUAUCAAAAAUUUUACCUGUGAAUUUUGAGAGUUGAGGAUGAAUUGAAUUAUUAUUUGUAGUCAUAAUUUCAUCAACAAGAUUGCAACUUUGUUAUGAUUCCACACAUUCCCUGGUAUUAUAACUUUGAUCUGGCAUUUUACCUUCUAUAAUCUUUUGGCUCUUAUACCAAUUAUUGGAACCCACACAAUUGGAUAUUAAUGAUAUUUUUGCCAACAUAAUAAUAAACCUAUUUAUAAUGAACUAAUUAUACUUGUAAUAAGACUCUAAUUCCUACUAGACUAAAAGUUCUAAUUAACAUAGGAAGUCUAAAUAAAUGAUAAUUCCUAAUAUUUAUCAAAAUCCCUAAACUUAUUCUAAUUUGACUUUAAGUCGGAUUAUAAUUUCAACACUAUCUACAUUAAAAGAUGCUAGAACCACAGCUGGAAGUUUAGCUGCCAUGGAGUCGCAAGAUUAUUCAUUAAAAGGCAGAGUUGAGACGCUGAAGAGAACGAACCCACCUUCAUGAAAGCCUAAGACGACGGGAAGCUUGGUGUUUGGAGGAAGAAGACGAGGCCGGAAGAGGCGGAGAAAGGUGUUGCUGGCGGGGUUGACAGGAACAUCCAUCUUUGGAAAAAACCACAGCGGCAUCGAUGACGGUGGUUUCAUGAUUCAUGAGUUGCGGAUAAAGUGGGAAAUGGGGUAAGGCGAGUGAGAGACGGAGGAACUUAUAGGGGUCCAUGGAGGAGGAAGGUGGUGGCGCAGAAGCUUGGUCUGCCAUGGCUGUCUCAGUCUGAGUGGCAGAGAUUUGUUUUGAAAGAAAU
rnacentral:lncRNA from 1 species